rnacentral:lncRNA from 1 species
UGAAGUGAACCAUUUUGAAUUGGAUGAAUGGCCUUGUCUAGGUUCUGUGCGUAGUAGACUCUAUGGAUCUCUGAUUUCACACUAUCACUGGAUGAGUAAAACUAUUCUCUGCUCAAGUGAGCGUCGCCUGUUUGCUUUGGGAACUCGUGUGCGAACCGGUCUCGAAAUACUGUAACCACAGGGAAUGACGGAUACUAUUUGCUGUAUUUUGCUGAAUAUUUUUUGCAUUCUUUGGUCUCUGCUCUUGCGAACCUGGAUGUAUCUGCUGAUCAGUGCUUAGGCCCAGUUUCUCAAUGAUUUGCUGGGAGACGCGCUUGUUUUGUUUUGAUCGGUAUCGAUUUGUACCAGGCCCUUGCAGAUUUUUGCUUGCUCUGUUCAUGUAUCGUUUACAUAAAGCGUAUGGGAGGUGUAAGCCCGUAACCAUUUGGCCUUCUGCUUGCAUCCUCAUUGCAUUGCAGGAGGAAAGAGCGGGCUGAGAGAUGAUGUGUUUUCCGUUUUGUCCGUGCCGUUGUUGGUGGCUGCUCUCUUGCGUGUAAAUACAGUACUGAGCCGUAUAGAUAUGGACCUUGGUCAGGACUUGGCAUGCUUGCAGAUGUGGUUGGUGUGCAUGGCACCACAACUUAAAUGGGUGACGACGACGGGACGGAGGGGUAAAUGAGUAAUUGAUGUUUGCAGAUGCUUGUCCAGAUAUUAAAUGCCAGACUUUUAAUACCAGCGAACAUGCUCGUCUCUACAUCCCGCCAUCUCCAGCGGUUCGUCCCCCAGGGCGCCUAAAUAGAGCGGCCUGGGGGCGUGCCGGCGCUAGUUCGGCCCCUGGGGGCGAGCUAGCUCCCAGUCACGCCCCCACGCGCCGGCCUCAGGAUGCGGGAAAUUCAAACUUGGUCGUUCCCGCUCUCAAAAGACGCCGCAAAUCCGGCGAUCGGACGUAGUCUGGCGUUACAAAAAACAGAGCGCCGCCGUCUCGGCGGGGUCGGUUCACUCGGCGGGGUUGGUUCCAGGUGUUGGCGGAGUCGGCGUGCGCGAGCUCGGCGAGGUUGGUUCCAGGUGUUGGCGGAGUCGGCGUGCGCGAGCUCGGCGGUGUCGGAGCUGCUUUGGUGCUGGGCUGCGUCGGCACGGCUUCGACACUGCUGGGCGGCGAUGUAGAGGCGCUCGGGCUUGGCGUCCGUGUGGUCGUUGGCGUCGUCGGCGUCGUCGGCGUUGCCGUCGGCAGCUCGUUCAGGAUGAGGCCGCGCUGCACCAGGUACCACGCCUUGAGCUUCUCCUCGUUGCUCUGGAGCAUGUCCGCCCCGCCCAUCAGAAAAGCCAUGUCGGUGUUCCUCUUCUUCGCGGCGACGUUCGUCCGGAGCGGGUUGAGCUUGAUGGCGUUGUUCUUCAUUAGCGCCGACCACCGCGCCUCGGUCUUCUCUUUAUGUAGAACGGCCCGGGCCUGGGCGUCGGCGAGGCAAUGCUCGAUGGACUCCUGCACUCGCGCGGUUGCCGCGUCGGCGUUUUUCCCUUUCUUUGACAAUUUGUGGCCGUCCGGCCGUCCCUCUGACGCGCCCGGAGUCGUCGCGUCCGGCUUGUAUGUCUCCUUGGCCUUGUCGAGGGCACGCCGGACUUCCGCCCACUUCUCGCACUUGUCAAUGCGCUUGUAGACGUGGAUGUGCUUGAAGUCGGCGUCUUGGUUGUCGCCCCGAUACAUGGCGAACAUACGCAGCAGCUGCGCGGAGGGACGAACAGUUGGCGAACGGCGGGCGUAGGGGACGAAGAUAUGCGGGCGAACAGCGUGCGUACCUGAUCCUCAACGCUGGCGCCGCUCUCCGGGUGAGCCGCGACUUCCUCAACGAUUCCAUGCCAUUUGUUGCAUGCCAACUGGAUACGCCCCCAAUGGUUCGCCAUCGCCUUGGAGCCGCGCUGCAUGUAGACGCCUUUGAAGUAGGGGUCGACGAGUUUCCGCUCGUCGAACUCGGCCUUGAUGCGGUCCUAGUACGUCUCGAAGCUCUGGUUCGCGCCGGUGGUCGGGUCGAGGCAGAUGAUUUUCCAUGCUUCGGCGAGGCAUUCCUCCUCCUUGGACGUCCACUUGAUGCGCGGUUCGCCCGACCUAGCCGCCCGCUUCUUCUUCUUCUGGCGCCCCUUCGUCGAAACAGGAGCCGGUUCCUCCUCCUCGUCGUCCUCCUCCUCCUCGGGUUCCUGCGCGUCGUCGCCAUAGACGUAGCCGAGCUCGGUCUCCAUGUCGCCGCUGAGGUCCACUACCUCGUCCUGGGUGGCGAACCCGGGAGACGAGGCGGCCGCGGCCGAUCCUGUCACGAUGAUGUCGUCCAUGUCGGCUCCCGUGUCGUCGGCGUCGCCGAGGUGCGAGAAGGGUAGCGGACCACGGUAGAGAUGGGGCGUCGGUGUGGACGCGUAGGCGGCGGGCGGCGAGUAGUUGUAUGGAGGGUACUGCACGCUGACGAAGGCGGGCGAGGGCGUGCGCCUAGCGGGGUGACCGUGAGGGAAGGUCACGUUUGGGUUGAACCCACCGUGCGCGUCGCCGUCGGCGUAGCCGGGCGACGAUGAACCCCAUGGAGAUCCGGCGCCUUGCUGUCCCCAGGGCGCGUACUGGGCGUGGCUGACGACGGGUGGAUUCAUCCCCGCCUGGUCAACCGAUGAGGAAGACGCCGCCGCGCGCGCCGCGUUGUCGCGGGCCUUCUUGGCUAUGGCCCUGUUCCGCCUGUCGGCGGUGACUACUUCGCGCCGCUAAACUUCCACCCUCCACUCGGCGUUCGACAGGCCCGGUGGCUUAGAUGGCGGCACCCUUUUUUCGGCGCCGGCACGGCAAAAUCGCCUGGGGAGGGCCUGUUGGGGGCGCGGCUGGAGAUGCCCUUACAUCCCCCUUUCUUGCAUCCCCAUAUCCUAUCUCCCAAACUGCAGCUUUCAACAUUCAGGAGAAGCCAUUGGAUCCAUCAGCACCAUAGCCACAGGCCUCCAACCCUCCUUGAGGUAAUUACUGCCUUUUUUCUUUCCUUCCUUCUUUAUUUACUACUUCUCCAUCUUUUGGGUGUGUCGGUCUGAAUCCGAUCAUGCUUUUCGACAAGAGGGAGAAUGAAACCUCUGCUUUGUUGUAGGUUAUAUUUUUGUUCUUUAGGUUGCACCAUGAUUCGAAAAGGGUUGCGUUUAGCCGAUCACCACUGAGGUGGAUCCAGUUUUUAUUUAUUUUUAUUUUAGCUAAUCAAGUACUUCAUGCAUGUGUGUAUUCGUAUAUAUGGAAAUGAUAAAAUAAUUACUGUCAAGAGGUGAUUGUUUAUAUUUUUCUUACACGUGUUUUGUGGACCAUCCAGAUCUUACAUCAACAGAUACCAUCAUGAGUCCCACAUCAAAGUUUAUGGAUCUCCGUGACAUAAAGGAAAUCACAAAUGGUUUCUCUGACGACCUGAAGAUUGGAAGUGGGAGGAUUGGAACAGUUUACAGGGUACACUGAGAACAAACAUAUUUUCUUUCACUUUUUUUUUCUGUGUGUGUGUGUAGGAAAAGAGCUAAGCUUGCUGGUACCAAGUACUUACAUUAUUAGGCUUUUGUUUUUUUACACAUGUUAGAACAUGAGUACUCCAUGCUUACCAAAUUAUUUCAAGUUCUAGAUUUUCUCCAACUAAAACUUUUCUUUAUUUUUCCUGCAAACAAAAUUUUCUAUAUUUGACCAAGUCUUUAGCAAAAAUAUGCUAAUAUCUGCAGUAUCAAAUAUAUAUAGUAUGAAAAUAUAUUUUAUGAUAUAUCUAAUAAAAGUAAUUGUGGAUGUUGAUAUAUUUUUACAAACUUGGUCAAUUUUAGAGAAGUUUGGCUUACAGAAAAGCUAAAACUUCAAAUAAUUUGAAACGGAGCCACUAUACAUGUCCAAGUCGACGAGUCUACAACAUGUUUUUCUAAUUAAAAUAGCGAAGAUAUUACACCAGAGUAUUUGUUUUUGAAAGGGAGUAAUCUUAUUAGUUGAAAGAACAUACACCGCGAAUGCUUUGCCACCUGCGAUGAUUUAUGUGUGGUUGUGAUAGUAAAUGAACACAUAAAAAAGGUAGAUGGCAGCAAAAAGAAGUAAACGGUUUUGAAUAACAACAGUAGAACUAGCAAAAAAAUGAUCCCAAAUCCAUGGAACGUGGAGUCUAUUUUGAAAGCUCUUAUUUUGAAAAGGCUAAUAAAAGACCCUAAACUUAUCAUGUUUAGACCCAUUUAGCAACAUAUUGUCAAUGAUGCGAGGAAAUUAUUGUGAGUCAAAAAAUGAUCCUAAACAAAUCAUAUUCUUUUUCCAAUUCUGAAUGGGAGGUUAACCACCCACUAAAGUUCCCUUAAAAAGGUCAGAUAGUUCCAAUUCCAAUUAUUCCAACAUGGCAAUAUGCGUAAAAUUUGCUUCCUGUCUUUUACAUAAGUCUCAUUGCCGUACUUAGCCCAACCCAUGUGAUGUUGUGUAAGACCCUGCGGCUUUAAGUUGACAUAUUCCAUAACAUAAUAAAUAUACAAUAUUAAUUAGUUAUGUCUAACAGGGAGUUUACAACGGAGAAGAGAUUGUUGUGAAACUUCUUGAUGGGGAGCGACUUAGAAAAAUGAAUGGGAAGAAACUUUAUAGGAUUAUGGCGAUGAGCCAUCCAAAUAUUGAACAGUUUGUUGGCUAUUGUGAUGAAGCAGAGUAUGGUGAAUACAAUGGUGAGUGGCGUGUUUAUAGAAUUCUAUGCUAUGAAUACUUGGAGGGUGGAAGCCUUGACAAGUAUCUCAUAGGUAAGAUGCAGUUCUAUUUCAGACUAUUUCUUUUGUGUUCAAUGAAAACUAACUCUCCCAUUUCGAUUUUGAGUCACUCUGUCUUGUUCUGCUUAUGCUUAAGAAUCUCAUGGCCAUGACUGGCGAACCCGUUACAACAUAAUAAAGGGGGUCUGCGAAGGUUUAAAUUUCAUACACGACAGAACGGGAGCUCUAAUUUGCCAUCUAAACCCCACCAACAUACUACUAGACAAGUCCUUGGUGGCUAAAAUUACGAAUUUUGCAAUGUCAAUGCUCCUCAAUGGACCAAAUACCUAUACAGAAAGCUUUUUAGGCGAAAUGUAAGUAAAUCACUUCACGUGUGAAUCCAUUUAUUUUUUGUGAUGAGGCUGAACAGUUAUACUGAUUGUACCAUCCAGUCCGUACACACCACCGGAGGGCUUAAUACGUGCCCAUGUCAAUGAUGGAAAAUAUGAUGUCUACAGUUUAGGCAUCAUAAUCAUACAGAUUGUGGCUGGAUAUACCGGUUACUCAAGAUUUUGUGAAAUGGAUGUCACACAAUUUAUUGAGCUGGUAAGAAAACAAUUUUUUUGCCCGAAAAAAAGAAUUUAUGUACUAUGCAAAAGUAAUUAAGAUAGGAUGCUUCUAUAUAGUCUGUAUACUAAAUUAUCUGCCUUAUAUACUUGUGCUAUGAUUCGGUAGGUAAAUACAAAUUGGAGGAAAUGUAUAAAUGCAACUACAUCACCAUGCCCAUCUGCAGAAUGGGACCAGGUGGAUGCGUGCAUCAGAUUAGCAAUAAAAUGUGUGGACCAAGAAAGGGACAAUAGACCCACUGCGGAAGAAAUUGUGCAUAUUCUGAAGGAGAAUGAGAAAUUGUUGCCGGUGGAGUACUGGGCACCCUUUGUAAUGGGCAAGGUACGACUACUAACGACACAAAAUAUGUGCAUGUUCUCUACCCCCCAUGAGAACAAAACAACUGACAGUGGUUAUGCUAAAUAACAAAAUAAUACACUAAUCUUUAGUUUUUAAACAUAUCUUUUGUAGGAAGAAGCUUCUUGUAUAAAUCUUAUGAAGCAAUUUGGUGAUAUGGAUAUGCAUGGAGACCAUGAAACGGAUACGCAGGUGCAAAACAGUGAUUGUUGUAUAUAGCGAUAUUUACAUAAUUUUGAAUAUAAUUAGUUUGGUAGGAAUCUGCAAGUUAACCCAAAAGUUCUAUUGAAAUGGUAUAAGUGCACUCCCUCAUUAAUCCAAGUACUUCUCUUUGCAGACAACAUCCACACUUGAUCAUAUGUCGUUACAAUAUCUGAAAGACAUCACAAACAACUUCUGCAAUGAGAGAAUACUUGGUAGAGGUGGUUUUGGUGUGGUAUAUAAGGUAAGGUUAAAGCAAAGCUGUUUUUGUUUUCUCACAGUAUUAACCAUACUUGACCCAGACAUAUCCAUAUUAUAAGAGAUUUUAAACAGGGAGUGCUAGGAAACGGGAAAAUGGUUGCAGUGAAGAAGCUUGCACAGUCUAUGUCAAACUCAUUGGAGCAAUUUGAGAAUGAGAUUAAUCUUCUUAUGAAACUAAAGCACCCAAAUAUAGUGCAACUAGUAGGCUACUGUUACGAAACACAGCAUUUACGUAACUAUCAUGAAGGAAAAUUCAUUUUUGCUUGGAACACCGAAUGUUUGCUUUGCUUGGAAUUUCUGCCUAAGGGAAGCCUUGAUAAGUACAUUUCAGGUAUGCCAUUUAAUAGUUCUUGUUUCUCUACUUUUCAUCUCACUUUGUGAUUACAAUUUUCGUGGUUUGACUAUAUAUAGUUCUUAAAAUGGUGCUCUUAUGAACGAAGAAAAUGAGAAUAUACAAUAGAAAUUUGGAAGUCUUUCUAAAUAUAUUGUACCUUUGUUACCAUUCUCACUCCUCGGAGUAUGUACCUUAUUCAUUUGAAAAAUAUUAGAAUAUACAAUAGAAUUGCGGUUUCAUUAUAGGAGUCAUUUUUCUGUACUCCUGGGAAUUUGGACUCCCACAUUUAAUAUACCUCAUGUAUACAUAUAGCAUAGCUCGUGUGUGUGUAUGUCUAUAUAUAUGUGUGUGUGUGUGUGUGUGUGUGUGUAUAUAUAUAUAUAUACAUAUAUAUAUAUAUAUAUAUAUAUAUAUAUAUUUGAUGUUGUUGAUCUUAGGAGAAUUUUCCAUAGACUUGGUCAAACUUUAAAAAGUUUGACUUAGGAUAGAACUUCAAUUAUUUUAUUUACAAAUACAUCUUCCGGACUUGAUUGGCCCACACGCCACCAAAUAAUUGAGGGGAUUUCCUAUGGUCUACAGUACCUCCACGAGCAACCCGAAGGUCCGAUUAUUCACUUGGACCUAAAACCAGCGAACAUACUGAUUGAUGUAAAUAUGAUACCGAAAAUUACAGACUUUGGUCUGUCAAGAAUGUUUGAUAAAAAAACUAUCCACACCGCAAUCACGAGUGGAACAUUGUAAGUGAUCCACCUCUUGAUAAUCCUUGCUUUUUAGUAAUCAACAGAAUGUAUUCUCUUUGACGUUUUCUUAACACUUCAUGUUCACUCAUUCCUGUCAAUAUAGAGGUUAUAUGCCGCCGGAAUAUGUACGAGGUAUAAUCACACCUAUGUCAGAUAUAUUCAGUUUGGGUGUAAUUAUCAUGGAGGUAAUAACGGGACACAGGGACUACCCAUAUGAUAUUAGAGAAUCUUCCAUGGAAUUCAUCGAGCUUGUAAGGCAACCCUGUAUAAAUUUUUAAGGCUUCAUUAAGACCGUGUGACCUUUUUCCAUUGUGUAGUAACAUUUAAUAUUUGUGGCCUGCACUCACAGGAACUGCAAAAAUGGAGAAAUGUGAUGCAAAAAGAACCAGUGUAUACAUCGCUUGAAAUAUAUUGCCAACAAAUAACAAGAUGUAUCCAGAUAGGUCUAAUAUGCGUGAAUCCUGAGCGGACCAAAAGACCUACAGCGAAGAAAAUUAUUGAUAUGCUUCAAGGGUUGGAAAGUAUGGAUUGGUACAUUAGCAACGAGGUAACGUCAUUUACAGGAAGUGUAUGAUAGUGUCAGGGUAUUGUGUGGCAUAUAAUGUAUUAGUCUCCUUUUCCUAGCAUAGAGAGUAUAAAUAUACUGCAUUUUAUAUAUUUGUACCUAGAAAUGAAAAAUGGUACUGUAUAACUUAUUCUAUAUGCGGGUUUACAUUGGAAGUAGUAACCUAGUUGCUAGGACUAAGUUAUGUGCUUAAUGCAUACCUUGUAUGCAAUUUCAAACCAGUCGAUGGCCUGGUGAAUGGUUUCCUAAGUCCAAUAUUCGUUUUUGAGGUUUUGAAAGUUUUUGGACCAAACUUGGACUUUAGGCAAAGUUCAAGGUCUAAAAUUAGAGAUCACGUUGGGGUUGAUGCUCAAAACAACAAUGCUAGAGAAAUGACCGGAGAGAGAGAGAGAGAUUAUAGAUCAAGCAAAGUUUAACCAACUAUCUGGCCCAUUUCAGUUAUCAAUCCAGCCACAACAUCCAGGCGGAGCCGCCGUAAUUUAACAAAGGAGACUGCUACAACGUCUGUUGCUUCUAUCUUAAUUUCUGGUGUGUCACUUUUUUGAAUUUUAACAGUGGCUCUAUAAAAUGAUGCACGGAUGCAUAUCUAAUUUUAGUUGGCUUCAGUUGUUACAGGGCUUUGGAUCCUGGUUCGCAGUUGUUCCUACCAAGCAAGUGAAUGUCACGAAUCUGCAGUUGUGCUGGUUCCUGCAGAAUUAUGUGUGCGAUGCGGAAACGUCUUACCCUUCGAGGGGGACGUGGUACGUGUUAUAUAGGGGAGUGCGAGUCCCUGAUACGCGUACAAUUCUGUUGGAGAGAUACAUAACUUGGGGAAGAAGAAGUAUAGGAGAUAAAGCAUAGUUACAACCGAACAGAAUUUAAACUACCCAUGCGGCUAUCUAUCUUAUCUAUCUCCUCAUACAUAUCUUGUUUGACACCCUCCCUUAAUCACAACUUCAUCAAGUUGAGAUUAUGCUUGAAAUCUUCAAAACUCCUUGUAGGCAAAGCUUUUGUAAACCCGUCUGCCACUUGAUCCCGUGAAUGAAUGAAACGAAUGUCCAAAAGCUUAUUAGCAACUCUCUCUCUGACAAAGUGAAAAUCUAUUUCAAUAUGCUUUGUUCUAGCAUGAAACACUGGGUUUGCAGACAAAUAGGUGGCACCAAGAUUAUCACACCAUAAGCAUGGAGCUUGAGAGCUUUUCACACCUAACUCCUUCAAGAUUGACUGUACCCAGAUAAUUUCUGCUGUUGCAUUGUCCAAGGCCUUGUAUUCUGCUUCAGUGCUUGAUCUAGACACUGUGGCUUGUUUUCUGGCACACCAUGAUAUAAGGUUGGGUCCAAAAAAUACUGCAAAGCCACCAGUGGAGCGUCUGUCAUCCAAGCAUCCUGCCCAAUCUGAAUCAGAAAAGGCACUAACAAGAGUAGAAGGUGACUUGCUGAAGUUUAGACCAACAUUCAAAGUAUACUUGACAUAUCUAACAAUGCGCUUAGCUGCAGUCAAGUGAACUGUGGUAGGUGCAUGUAGGAACUGGCACACUUUGUUGACAGCAAAGGAAAUAUCUGGCCUGGUUAAUGUUAAGUACUGAAGUGCACCUACAAGACUUCUGUAUUUUGUACUAUCCUCUGGACCCAAAAGUGUUCCUUCUGUAAGAGAUAAUUUUUCUGUACUAGAGAGAGGAGUGGAUGUAGGUUUACAACUACCAAAUCUGUAGCAUAUUUUUCUUGAGAAAGAUGUAGCCCAUCCUUGUGCUGCUUCACCUCAAUUCCUAGGAAAUAAUGCAAUUCUCCUAGAUCCUUGAGGGCAAAUUCAGCACCUAAAUCCUUCAAGAGUCCUGAUAUUGCCUCAUUAGAUGAGCUCGUGACAAUAAUAUCAUCAACAUAUAUAAGAACAAACAUGCAGGUGUUGAACUUGUUAUAAAUGAACAAGGAGGUGUCAGAUUUUGAAGGAACAAAACCAAGUGUCUGCAUCUUUUUACUGAGACGGGAAUACCAUGCCCUUGGUGCUUGUUUCAGUCCAUAUAAUGCUUUAUCUAGCUUGCACACAUAGGAAGGUGUAUGUUUGCUUUCAAACCCAGGAGGUUGUUUCAUGUACACUUCCUCUUCCAGAACACCGUGAAGAAACGCGUUCUGUACAUCUAAUUGUCGAAGGCUCCAUCCCCUGGAAACAGCAAUAGACAGUACGAGACGAAUGGUAGCAGCUUUUACAACUGGACUAAAAGUAUCCUCGUAGUCUAUGCCAUAUCGUUGCUUGAAGCCUUUUGCAACUAGCCUAGCCUUAUAGCGAUCAAUGGUUCCAUCAGACUUUCUCUUAAUUCUGAAUACCCACUUGCAGUCAAUAAGGUUUUUACCUUGCUUGGGGGGAACCAAGUGCCACGUUUUAUUUCUUUCAAGCGCCUUAUAUUCUUCUACCAUUGCCUUUUUCCACCUGUCAUCACUGAGAGCCUCUUCAAUUGUGUUGGGCUCACCUGGUUCACCUGUGGAACAAACUAGACCAUAUUUGGUUAUGUGUUUGUAAUUUUUCGGUUGAGUCAAACCUUGCUGUAGUCUUGUGCGGCGUUUUGGUGAAGCAGCCGGAUCUGCAGCCACAGAGGAUCCCGCGCCACCGUCAGUUCUGGGUGCACGGGAUUUUCUGUGGCUGUGACCCGAGGUGACGGUGGGGAAGACGCCGCAGGGGCCACAGACGAUCCAGGGGCGCCGACCGGCUCAUCAUGAGCGCGUGAUUGCGCGGCCCCGCUUGAAUCAGGCGCCGACCCCGUAUCCGCCUGGCGCGUGAGACCCCGCCGCUUGUAGCAAACCGGCUGGUCUGCGAAGCGCGUGCGGUCCGGGCCAACGUCGCGCUGCCGCGUGGCGGCUGGAGACUGGUGCGGGCUGGAUGGCGCGUCACGCCCUGUCGAAGGGGGCCGCGCGUCAUGCAGUGGGCUGCUGGAGCCCACGCGCCCGACCGCGCCUGACGCGUCCAACGCAGCCGUGCGGCUGGUCGUUGGCACGGAUCCCAGAAGGGAUUGCCUGGGCAUCUGCAGCUCCGAUCCCGAGGGGGAUUUGCUUCCCUCGCCGCGACACAUGUGAUAAGGGCCAUCUGGAUGGAUUUCUUCACCGUUUGGGUUGAUUUCUUCGCCAUUUUCUUCUCUGUUUCCAUAGUGUGGUGCUCCUGUAAUAUCAUCAGGUGACUCAUGCACAAGAGGGUUAGCCAACAUAUGAUCACAACAAUUAUCAACACCCCCUUGAUCAUAACCAGAGAGACUUGGAGGAAGCAAAAGUAUUUCUUUUUGAAGGAGAGCACCAGCGUUUGGAUGAAGAUCAGAAAAAGGGAAUUUGGUCUCGUCAAAAACCACGUCACGUGAUAUAUAGACUCGACCAGUGGAGAUGUCAAGGCACUUUACACCUUUGUGUUGGGCGCUGUAUCCAAGGAAAGCACAUUGAAUUGAUCGAAACAUGAGCUUGCGUUUGUUGUAUGGGCGUAGGUUAGGCCAGCACGCACACCCAAACACACGAAGAGUGGAAUAGUCGGGUUUGACAUGAAGAAGACGUUCUACUGGAGUUUCAUUAUUUAUGACACGACUAGGAAGCAUGUUGAUGAUGUGAACAGCAGUAAGAAACGUUUCGUCCCAAAACUUUAAUGGCAUAGACGCAUGAGCUAAAAGAGCAAGACCAACUUCAACAAUGUGACGGUGUUUGCGCUCGGCUGAGCCGUUUUGUUGGUGAGCGUGGGGACAUGACACAUGAUGUGAGAUGCCAAGGGUUUGGAAGAAGGAGUUCAACUUCUCGUAUUCCCCUCCCCAAUCGGAUUGGACAACGAUGAUUUUGGAAUCAAAUUUACGCUCUACAAGUGCUUGAAAAUUUUUAAACACUUGGAAAACGUCGGAUCUUUUCUUAAGAAGAUAGAUCCAUGAAAACUUGCUAUAGUCUUCAAUAAAGCUUACGUAGUAAGUGUGUCGACCAACAUAACUAGGGGCUGGUCCCCAAACAUCAGAAAAAAUCAAUUGCAAUGGUUGAGUAGACACACUAGUAGAAAUUGGAUAUGGAAGCUGAUGACUCUUAGCUCGCUGACAGGAAUCACAAAUAGUUUCAACAUUGCGCUCACCAACAUACAGGAGCUUAUUUUUCCUAAGGAGUUUUUCAACUAAAGCAAAAGAAGCAUGUCCUAAACGAUCGUGCCAUCGUGUUGACGAGAGUUUGACAACACCAAAAGCCUGUUUAUUGAAUCUUGCGCGCUCCGGAAUCAACGGGUAAAGCCCUCGAACACAUCUACCUCGAUAGAGGAUUCUCUUCGUGGCCUGAUCCUUGAUCAAAAAGAAAUAUGGAUGAAAUUCAAGAAAAACAUGAUUAUCAAGAGCAAUUCUAUGAAUAGAGAGAAGGCUUUUAUUGGCACUAGGAACAUGCAAGAUUUUCUUAAGAUGAAUUUUUCUACGGGGGGUAUGAAAAAUUGAGUGACCAAUGUGGUUAAUCCUCAUACCUUCACCACUAGCUGUGUGGAUUUGAUCCUUGCCACGAUAUUUUUCCUUCAUUGUCACCUUUUCAAGUUCAUUGGUGAUGUGGUUGGUGGCGCCACUGUCGACGUACCAGUUGGUGUCGAUUCCAUAGGAGCCAUCCGUAGCAGCAGCAAGUUUGUCCUCGUCUUGGGAGGAGUCGCCGUCGUCGUCGUAGCGAUACCAGCAGUCUUUGGCCGUAUGCCCUAGCUUACCACAAAUUUGGCAGCGAGGUGCAUCUGGCCGUGACCUGGUGGAGCCACCGCGACGGCCCCUGUUGUUGCCAGAAGAGGGCCGCCCGCCGCCGCGAGUGCUGGAGUUGCUGUUGCCGUGUCCCCCGCCCGAGGCCUUGCCCCUGUUGCGAGGUGACCUGCGCUGAUGAGAGGAGCCGCCGCCGCGGCCACGAAAAGCGGCGUUGGCUGACGACUUGAAGCCGCCCGAGGACUGGAAGAGCGCCACGCGCUGGUCGAAGUUGCUCAUCAUGGAGAAGAGCUCGUCGAGGGAGACAGGCACGAUGCGGGCGUCGAGGGCGGACACCAGGGGCUGGUAAUCCAUGUCCAGCCCAUGAAGGAUGUAGGAGACAAGCUCGUCAUCUUGCAGAGGCUUGCCGGCCGCGGCGAGUUCAUCCGCGAGGCCGCGCACGUGGGCGAAGUAGGUGGCGACGGACUGGUUCCCCUUCUGCGCGUUGAUGAGGGCCGUGCGGAUGUUGUUCACCCGGCUGAGGGACUGCAACGAGAACAUGCCCGCCAGAGCAGCCCAGAGCGCGGGCGACGUGGUGAUCGCGGUCACCUGCACAAGAACCUCUUUGAACAGAUUGUUGAGCAGAUAUCCAAGUACCUGCUGGUCCUCCCGUACCCAGAUUGGGUGGAGAGGGUUGGGUGUCGAGGACUCCUUCCCGUCUUUGUCCUUGGUGACGAGGAGUCGGGCCAGCUCCGGUGUGGUGCCAUCGGCAUAGCCAAAGACACCGGCGCCCCGCAGCUGCGGCAUGAUCUGGGCGCGCCACAGAACAUAGUUCGUGCGGGUGAGCUUCUCCGUGACCUGUUGGUUGAGGUUUGGGUGGGAGGAGCCGGAGGAAGACAUGGCUAGGGCACUAAUGGCGAUGAGCUAGGCUAGAUGAGAUUGGAAGAGGUGGCUCUGUAUACCAUGUGCGAUGCGGAAACGUCUUACCCUUCGAGGGGGACGUGGUACGUGUUAUAUAGGGGAGUGCGAGUCCCUGAUACGCGUACAAUUCUGUUGGAGAGAUACAUAACUUGAGGGAGAAGAAGUAUAGGAGAUAAAGCAUAGUUACAACUGAACAGAAUUUAAACUACCCAUGCGGCUAUCUAUCUUAUCUAUCUCCUCAUACAUAUCUUGUUUGACAUUAUGUACUAUGUAGUGCCAUGGACACACAUCCUUUGUUUUCGAUGUUCUUGUUCGGCCGAUUCCUAUGGCUGGUGAUGUACACAUUAGCUUUCGAUUGCAUUAUCUAGUAUGACUUGUGUGUACAUAUCCUUGACUUCAGAUUGGUACUGUUGAUAGAUAGACAUCCUGCUAGUGUGCCGUACUAGUACUAGUAACGGCCUUCUCUUGGAGCUUGCAACAUUUAGGUAAUCGAUUUUAAAUGUUUCAAAAAAUUCUGAAAAUUUGCUUUCAGUCACUGUCUAGCCGUCCAGGGCACCUUUGCCCCGGAGGAACGCUUUCCAGCUCGCCUGCUCUGCUCUGCUCAGCAGCUCCGGUGCUCCUGCUUCUUUGGGAAUUGCUACAUCCUGAAUCCUGCAUGGUAAUUUCUAAUUUAGGUCCUGAGUCCUGACAAAUGCAUGUUGGUAGGAACCGAAUCCCUACGAGGGCGUUGUCUCAGGUUGUAGGGGUGGAAGGAGGGAUGGUGUGGUCGCCGGCACUGGGGCGCCAUCGUUGCAUGAGAGAGAGAGAGGGAAGGAGGGAGGGAGGGAGGGAGUGAGUGAGUGAGAGAGAGAGAGAGAGUGAGUGAGUGAGUGAGUGAGUGAGUGAGUGAGAGUGAGAGUGUGAGUGUGAGUGUGAGUAUGAGUAUGAGAGUGCAGCGGCGGCUAGGGUUAGGUCUCCUGGCUCCCUAAGGAAGCUAUGAUUGCUUCUUGCUUAAUCCCAAAAUAACUGGGCUAAGCCCCUAAUAUACCGGUCAUAACAUCUCUCCCUGCACAAACAACUCGUCUUUGAGCUGGAAGGCGGGGCAGAUCAACGGUCGCCAAACACCUCCGCGUCAAUUGGGGCGGGCUGGUCGCCGAGCCCGGCGGCGGCGGGGUCCUCCUCAAUGUAGUCUGUAGCCUCCAGGCAGAAGAGUCGUGGGCAGACGUGGCCCGGUACGUAGGGCUCGUCGCAAUUGAAGCACAACCCUUGGCGACGACGCUCGAGUUGCUCGGCCGGGGUGAGCCAGCGGAAUAGGCGUGCCGCAGCCGCGGCGAGGGGCGCCGUGGAAGCCUGGGUCCUCCCGCGCCGAGGACAGAGAUAUUUUUAUCAUGUCAUCUAUUCCGCUGGUCCCAUCAUGGAUGGCAGUGUAUUCUUUGAAUAGAAGUUUUGUAAUCUUAGGCUGGACUCUUUUUUAUUAUUGACUUAAACGAUAUUUAAUUUUUGAUUGUGUUGGACAUGUCGGCUAUGUGCAUCGUCUUAUGCACAGGACGCGCAUUCGCUCAAUGCGAACGUAGCACCAUUGAACGAAAAUGUGCUUUAUCCCCCACAAAAAAAUGAGCUUUAUCAAAAGAAAGAAACAAUACAUGAUGACUCUUGAGGAAUUUGCUUCUAGAAUACAGACAUAGCUCCUAAGUGAAUGAUCCCAAAUAACAAUAUCGAAGCGUGUCAUGAUCCUUGAUGAACUUGAAGUGUAUGUUAUUCCGCAAAUCUUACCUUGACUCUUGAGCAAUUUGCUUCGAGAACUUCAUUCAUAAUUAUUCUAAGUGAAUGCUCUCGACUAGCAAUAUCAUAGUGUGUGGCAUGAUCAAUCUUGACGAACUUGAAGUGUAUGUUAUUCUGCCGCUGCUGCCUAUGCAGUUCCUUGGCGAACGACAACACGCUAACCAAAUUGAUGCACCCAUCUCGGUCGCCAUGCACGAUCACUGGGGCAACGUCAAAGUUACCUUCCCAAUACAUCACAUGUUCCAUCGUUUGUACGCCGGCUCCAUUGAGGUAUGUUGUUGGUACCAUUGGCGCAUCAACCCUCAGCAUUGUCGGAAGCACCCGUUUCGUGAAGGGCACAACUUCGUCGGUGCUGAAACCGAGUGCUGCAAGAAAAUGCGGGUAGUCGUAUGCUGAGUAGUUCCUGUUUUUGGUGAUCACGAGCGGCUUGUGACCAAAAACAGCAGGAGAUGGCAGGGACAGAAGGGAACUCUCGAAGGCCCUCCACAUUUGCCGCAAAGCAAGCGAUGGAACGGCUGGAACAGCAAUAACAUCGGGUCCGGAUGCAAGGUUCGUGACCACCUGGGUAAAGCCUGUAGAAGGCGUGGGUGAGAUGACAAUCAUAUACUUGAUGAGCUUUUGCCUCCAUGACAGGGAAGUUGAGUUGAGGAAAUCGAGGAUGACCCUGCCGCCGAAGCUAUGACCAAUGAGAAUGACCGGCUUGUUCCCAUUCUUCUCACUUGCGUGGUGCACCAGAUCCUUGACACGAGCAUAGUAGUCGGAGUACACCUGAGAUGGCUGGCCCGAGGUUGNNNNNNNNNNNNNNNNNNNNNNNNNNNNNNNNNNNNNNNNNNNNNNNNNNNNNNNNNNNNNNNNNNNNNNNNNNNNNNNNNNNNNNNNNNNNNNNNNNNNNNNNNNNNNNNNNNNNNNNNNNNNNNNNNNNNNNNNNNNNNNNNNNNNNNNNNNNNNNNNNNNNNNNNNNNNNNNNNNNNNNNNNNNNNNNNNNNNNNNNNNNNNNNNNNNNNNNNNNNNNNNNNNNNNNNNNNNNNNNNNNNNNNNNNNNNNNNNNNNNNNNNNNNNNNNNNNNNNNNNNNNNNNNNNNNNNNNNNNNNNNNNNNNNNNNNNNNNNNNNNNNNNNNNNNNNNNNNNNNNNNNNNNNNNNNNNCGAGGUUGGUGAUCACGAGCGGCUUGUGACCAAAAACAGCGGGAGAUGGCAGGGACAGAAGGGAACUCUCGAAGGCCCUCCACAUUGGCCGCAAAACAAGCGAUGGAACGGUUGGAACAGCAAUAACAUCGGGUCCGGAUGCAAGGUUCGUGACCACCUGGGUGAAGCCUGUAGAAGGCGUGGGUGAGAUGACAAUCAUAUGCUUGAUGAGCUUUUGCCUCCAUGACAGGGAAGUUGAGUUGAGGAAAUCGAGGAUGACCCUGCUGCCGAAGCUAUGACCAAUGAGGAUGACCGGCUUGUUCCCAUUCUUCUCACUUGCGUGGUGCACCAGAUCCUUGACACGAGCAUAGUAGUCGGAGUACACCUGAGAUGGCUGGCCCGAGGUUGGUGGAGCACGCCGUAGAUCGUAAGGAGCUCCGAAAAGAGUAUCUUUGUCAUGAUAUCCUAGUGCUUCCAGUUCUUCGCGGAGCCUUAUCAUGCAAAACAUGUUAUGCCUGGACAUGGCAAAGAUAACGCAGUAAGUGGCAAUACACUGAUCUAGAACUCUCCGACUCAAAGAAUCGGAGUAGCCAAUGUGUCACUUAAUUAUAUACUCCAUCCGUUUCAAAAAGUAGGGUGCAAAUCUUGAUAUGUAAAGCUUGACCAAAAUUAUAGAGAAAAAAUAUGAGAUAUAAUUGAAUACCAUGAGCUACAUCGUGAAACAUAGUUUUCUGUUAUACUCCUUCCAUAUUAAAAUAUUUUGAUACGGAGGGAGUACAUAUUAAGUAUGUUUGUAAGAGGAAUUGGUUUGUGAUAAGCGUAUGCAUCGUAGCAGGGACGCGUGCGUGUUUAUAUAGCACAAGGAAUACAUGCGGCGGCAAGUUGUUGGAGUCUUGACCCAUCCUCCAAGCUAUACAAGAGAUAGGAUCAAAUCUUCCUAACAACCUACCUUUGUUACAAGACACUACCAGAAAACAGACUUUUCCCCACGGCUAAGAACCCACAGGAAAAAGCCAAAUCCCGUCAGGAAAAUAUUUCCUGACGGUUACCCGACAGGAAAAUUUCGCCAGGAAUAAAACGACAGGGAAAUCUUUUAAUGCCUGACGGCCAGCCGACAGGAAUUAUUUUCCUGACGGUUAUUCCUGUCGACUACCCUCGGGAAAAUCUUGAUGCCGUCAGGUUUAUAGGUAGACUUAUUGUGACGGCCAGCCUACAGGGAAAAUGGCACGCAGGAAAAUGAAUUAUGUUGAGCAUGUAUUUUUCUUUCUUUAGGAUCAAUGUUGAGCAUGUAUCUGACAAAUCCAUAUCCUUCUAUAGUUACAAAUUUAUUAGCACAUAUCAAUGGUCCACGUAUGAUCCCAUUAAGUGAAAAUCCACAUCAUAUCUUCGUACAAGCAUCCAAGACCAGUAUAUACAUAGCACGUAUCCAUGCAUGAUUGAACAUUUGGUAGAUGACAUCUGAAAUUUUUAAUUGCUGUUGUUUUAUUUGCUCAACAGCAGUAACAUGUCAGUUGUACGCAUACAUGCCACCGCCACCCAAAACAAUAAGACUCAUGUUUCUAAGUCCACUGGUUCAUGAUCUGGAGCAUCAUCUACACCUUCAUAAGUUUCUAAGUCACCUUAGGCUACCACCAUGUUCUCAACAUCAUUGUUGCCUUCGCUGUUGCCAUUGCCGACGUGGUCGCCCAUAGCACCAUCCUCCAAGCUAACAGAGGAUAACUCGGUGUUCCCUGCAAAGUCAUGUACACAAGUAACGGGAAUAAUAUUGGAAAGAGAAGGAGAUGAUGACCAACAUCUUUCACCAUAUGAGUUGUUAUCCGCUUAACUCUUUCAAGUUUCAUCUUUUAGCAUAUCUAUACAAUAUAUCCUACAGCCCCAUGAAACAUAUAUUUUAUAUUUUAAAGUGGCUCCAAAAGAUAAUCUGGUCCACUUGAUGAUAAUUUAGCUAAUCAUCAAGGACUAAAAAAGGAUGUUCAUUUAGUUUUUCUUUGUAAAUCUUAGAUAUGUCAUAUGGCAGCAAUGCAACCAUUAGAUGUUAUACUACCAUCUUGGUGCUUUAUAAAAUAAUGGAUAGGAUUAAACAAUACUCACUGGUAGCUUCAUGUUCGACCUUGUGCCCACUAGGACGACAUUCUUAACGAGAUCCUGCCCUUUUUGCCCUGAUGAAAUGUGCAAUCUCAAGAUUCCAAUCAAGAAUAGAUGAUUUUGUUCAGAACAAGACUAAAGAUUUCUGGAAAAGCAGAGUAUACUUGUAGCCAGCGGAAUAACAGUUUAUCUAAAAAGAUGACCAAGAAGGCAAGAACUUAAGAGAUUGCAUAAUCCCCUAAUUUUAGAUAUAUAGUAAAUUCAGCUUCAUCUAAACUAACAUGAUGGGUGAAGAUUGUAAUUCAAGGAAGUAAAAUAAAUUAAUGGGGUUAGGUAGACGUUGGGCAAACAAUGGCUCCAGAUUCAAUGCACAAGAGCCAAAGACUGGACAAGAAGACCUGAACUAAAUCAUGCCCUCAAAGAAGAUCCAGCAUGCCAUACACCCUUGAGUAACUGAGGAAUAUGACUGCCAGUCUAGAUACAUGAUGGAAGUAACACACAAAUCAGAUAGAUAUGCAUGUGCAUUAAUCACCUCAUGUUGCUGGCCUGCGAGAACUUCAUAAAGAAGAGGUAUGUACUCCUCAUAGUCUUCAGCAUCCAUGGGCUUGCACCUGAACCAAAACACACACACACGCGCGUAAAAUAGAGCACGGACACGCACUGACUCACUCUUCGAACAGGGCAUAUGCGAACAGGUGCCGAGCUCAAGGGAUGACAUGUUCCAAACAACAAGGUACCUGCGACCAAAUAUGUGUUCAGGAGAAGAUUAGAGGAAUGGAUUAGUGGCGCUGUGCAUAUGAGGAGAGACUGAGUUAGCAUCAGGGAUAGAUGGUGUAUAGUCUCAAAACAAUUUACACUACCUCAUCAUAAAUAAGUAAUUUGCCAAAUAAAUAAGGACAGCAACAAAUAAUAAGGUAACAAUUUGAGAGAUAAUUGCCACAUAAAGGCAAGUAUGUAUAUUUCCAAAGUGUGAGAGGUACCUGAGACAGGUUUUGCCUUGCCCUUCCUUCCACUACAAAGACUUCUAAAGAUGAGAAACAAAACCUAAAAGAGAGUGGCACAACUAUGCAAAUAAUUACUUACAUUGCUAACUAAAAUAUGACUAACUUGCUUCUAAAAUUGAACGUUUACUGCCAAAAUUAUUUGUGAAGGGAGGCGAUAUAUAGAAGUUGUACCAGUGUGGCUGCAGCUUCAACAAAGGAUCCUUGAUAUGGCAGAUUCAAGCUACAAGAAAUCAAGCAUGAAAAAAGAGUAAAUAUUUGACAUCUGAUUUCAAGACAUUAUACUACAAUUUGCUCAUAAAGUUUUUCAAAUGUACAUAAAUACAUAAAUACCACUGAGAAAGCAGCUAUAGGCCUCAUGUUUAUAUGCGGUACAUAUUCUAAAAGUACAUAUCUAGCAAUGAUACAAGAAGCUUUUCAGUUUCUCAAUUAUAUUAGCUAACAUCAGUGCUAAUAACACAACCAAUUGUAGGUCCUAAAAUUUUGAGAUAUGUGAGAGAACAAAACUCUUUCUAGCAAAUUGAAAAUUGAACAAAUCAACAUACUGAAAACAGAUGCAAAGGGACCCUUAUUUUCCCACUCACAAGCCUACUCUUUUCACCAAUGAGCCAGCAAAAGAAGGAAAUCAAGAUCCGGAUGCCCUCAGAUCUAGAUUCUACAUAAAUUGUAUGAACAACUAAAGAUCCUGACUUCGUUAUUUGGAUGACCAUGGUUGGACUUACCACAGAAAAAUGGAUCAACUGGCUUGGACAAAACGGAGAGGAGGAGGCCGCUGCUGCCACGUCAGACGAGGAGGAGCAGGAGUUUACUGGAUGUGCAACAACAGACUUACCCAGAUCUGGAGCAGGGAGCACGGGGUACAAUCAUCGCGUCCAGGGAAGCCGUGUUGGGCGGAGUGGUCCGACGAAGGUGGGAUGCAGCAAGGGUCGGAGCUGCAGGCAAGCGACGGUGGAAGUCACAGACAUUAAAGGUGGGCGUCGGUGGCGGAUGCAGGUUGACCCGGGCGGCGGUGGUGGAGGUGAGAGACGACCAGUAGUGGAGGUUGGGAGAGUGGAGGGCGAGCGGCGCCGGAACGAUUUAGGGCGAGCGGCGCCGGAACGAUUUAGGGCGGCGGCGCCGGCCAGGAAGUUUGAGGAGGGCGGCGGCCAUGGAGCAGAUGUGAGAUGGAGAGAUGGGACGAAGUGGGGAAUUGGUGGUCUAGGGAUUCUAUUCAUCUGGAUGGGCCUUUUUUCCUGUAGGCCCAUACACACAGGAAAAUCGGCGGAAGUUUCAUUUGAGGCGCCGAAGCGAAAAAAACGCGGGAGGUAAGAAUUUCCGGCGCCAGAGCCCGUUUCGCGGUGGUGAAAUGGCGGGCUGGGCCUCAAAUAUUUUUCCUGUGUUUGGACUCUCAGGAAAAUAGUCAAUUUUCCUGGGAGCCAAAUUUAGCCCGUCAGGAAGAUUUAUAUUCCUGUGAUGGGCUUCGGGCCUCACAGGAAAAUUCGUCACCUACAGGAAAAGUACAGUUUCUGGUAGUGAGAUACACAACACACACAAUAACGUGACAUAUGUGUCACAUCUAAACUAACUAUCAAGCCUAUCAUUUACAUCCUCCCUCAAUCUCAACAUGUGAAGGUUUAGAUUGGUCUUGAAGGCUUGAAGUUGUCGAGCUUGCAAGGGUUUUGUAAAACCAUCAGCAACUUGAUCACCUGUUGGAAUGAACCGUACUUCCAACAACUUCUGUGCAACUCUUUCUCGAACAAAGUGAUAAUCAAUUUCUAUAUGCUUUGUUCUUGCAUGAAAUACCGGAUUUGCAGAAAGAUAAGUUGCUCCAAGAUUAUCACACCACAACUGCGAGACAUGUGACCUUCCAAUACCCAAUUCAUUAAGUAAAGUUUCUAUCCACAUUACCUCAGCAGUUGCAUUUGCCAGAGACUUAUACUCUGCUUCUGUGCUUGACCGAGACACAGUUGCUUGUUUCUUUGCAUUCCAGGAUAUGAGGUUUGAACCAAGAAAGAUAGCAAAACCACCAGUGGACCUCCUAUCAUCAGGACAUCCAGCCCAAUCUGCAUCUGAAAAGGCACUUACUGCUGUUGAAGAAGACUUACAUAAUCUCAGCCCUGUUUCAACACUUCCUUGAAGAUACCUCAAAAUCCUUUUUACAGCUGUCCAAUGCACUGUGGUAGGAGCAUGUAGAAACUGACAAACCUUGUUAACAGAGAAGGAAAUAUCUGGCCUUGUUAAGGUUAAAUAUUGUAGUACACCAACUAUGCUUCUAUACUUUGUUCCUUCCUCUGGACUCAACAACACUCCUUCAUGCAAUGACAAUUUUUCAGUUGUAGACAUGGGUGUGUUGGAAGGUUUGCAAUCCUUCAUACCUACACGCUUGAUUAAAUCUCUGGCAUAUUUUUCUUGAGUUAGUACUAUACCAUCAUGCACCUUUUUAACUUCAAUUCCUAGGAAAUAAUGAAGCUCUCCUAGGUCCUUAAGAGCAAACUCAUUUUUCAACUGUUUUAACAAUGCUGAGGUGGCUUCUGAAGACGAGCUAGCAACAAUUAUGUCAUCAACAUAAAUUAACAUGUAUAUUAUCACCUUUCCUUUUUUAAAGAAGAACAGAGAAGUAUCUCCCUUGGAAGCUCGAAACCCAAGUUGUUGUAGUUUAGUGCUCAGCCUCGAGUACCAAGCUCUAGGGGCUUGUUUGAGUCCAUAUAAAGCCUUGUCCAGCUUGCACACAUGAUUAGGUUUAGAGCCAUCUUCAAACCCAGGUGGUUGUCUCAUAUAAACCUCCUCUUCGAGAACGCCGUGUAAGAACGCAUUCUGCACAUCCAGUUGGCGAAGAUUCCAUCCCCUGGAGAUAGCAACAGACAAAACAAGUCUAAUAGUAGCAGCUUUAACAACUGGACUAAAAGUGUCCUCAUAAUCAAUACCAUAUCGCUGUUUAAAGCCUUUAGCUACUAACCUAGCCUUGUAUCUGUCUAUUGUGCCAUCUGGUCUUUUCUUGAUUUUAUAAACCCAUUUACAAUCUAUAACAUUCCUCCCUCUUGCUUGCAAGGAACUAGGUGCCAUGUUUGAUUUUUCAUGAGUGCAUCAUACUCAACAUUCAUAGCAUUUUUCCAACUUGCAUUGUUCAAUGCUUCGGUCAAAUUUUGUGGUUCUCCAGUAGAAGCAAAAUUUGCAAACUUAAAGUUUUUUUCAUACCUGACCGUUCCAUCCUUGUAUGUUGAAGGCUUUAAAAUACCUUUUUGUGACCUUGUUGUUACACGUUGUGGCGCAGAGUCAACAGGCGCAGAAGAUCCCGAUCCACUACCUCGUACAGGAGCAGACCAAGCCACAGACAGAUCCUCCUCGACUGCUGCACGCCUGAGCUGGCUCGGAUCCCGCGCCUGUGGGCCUGGGGAGAGCGACCCGCCGCCUGGCGACAGCACGUGGUCCGCCGACCGACCGCCAUCAUUGCCUCGGGCGAUAGGCCCCUGCCCCCACCCGAUCCGCAACAACUGUCACGUGAGGUGGAGGAAUCCACCGCGCCGCCCGACCGGGGACCAAGCCCAGAUGAUGUGUCGCUCGCUGAGUGGGCCGGCGCGGAAUCUGGAGGGGGCGGCGUCUGUGGGGUCGCCAGAUCCUCCUCGGGAUCGUUUUCCGCGCCAAAUACGUCGGGAUCAGCGUCAGCAGGCGGAUCCUCCUUGUGUCCUGCGCCUGGCUGUAUAUGAACAUGCGGCUGCUGCAUAAAAUCACGGUUUGGAGCUGCAUUUUUUUACUGCUGCCACCAUUGUUAGUAAGGCUAUCCAACAAAUGAUCAUUAGUACUAUUUUCACUCCCCUGAUCAGUUGAAUUCAAAAGGUCUGGAGACAACAAAAGGAUUUCAGAACGUAGUCUGGCUCCGGCAUUGGGAUGUAGAGUGGAGAAGGGAAAUAUAUUUUCGUCAAAGACUACAUCCCUGGAAAUAUACACACGUCCUCUAGAGAUAUCAAGACAUUUGAAACCCUUAUGAAGAUUGCUAUAUCCAAGGAAAGCACAUUGCUUGGAUCUGAAUUGAAGCUUGUGUUUGUUAUAUGGCCGAAGUUUAGGCCAACAAGCACAACCAAAGAUUCGAAGAGCUGAAUAGUUGGGUUUUUCAUGAUACAAUCUUUCAAGAGGAGUUUUGAAGUUGAUAACUUUACUAGGUAGGUGAUUGAUCAAGUAUGUAGCAGCAAUGAAAGCUUCAUCCCAAAACUUUAGGGGCAUGCAAGCUUGAGCAAGAAGAGAUAGGCCAAUCUCAACUAUGUGCCGGUGUUUUCGUUCUGCCGAGCCAUUCUGUUGAUGAGCAUAGGGGCAAGAAACGUGAUGAGAUAUGCCAAUUUUUGUGAAAAAAGUGUUGAGUUUUUCGUACUCACCACCCCAGUCUGUUUGGAGAGCAAGAAUUUUGCGAUUGAAUUGCCUUUCAACAAGGUUUUGAAAGUCAUGAAUUUUUUGGAAAACUUCAGACUUGUGUUUGAUGAGAUAGAUCCAUGUGAACUUGCUAAAGUCAUCUAUGAAGCUUACAUAGAAUUUCUUCCUCCCUACUGUUUCAACAGCAGGUCCCCAAACAUCAGAGAAGACAAGUUCUAAGGGAAACUUUGAUUCACUUAUUGAUUUUGGAUAGGGUAGCUGGUGACUUCUGCCUUUUUGGCAAGCAUCACAUACAAACUCAUUAUUAAACUCAUUAUCACAUGGGAGGUUAUUGUUGCUAACAAUUUUUCUAACGAUAACUGAAGAAGGAUGACCUAAACGCCGGUGCCACCUAUCUGAAGACAGCUGAUGACACUUAGCACUUGCUUCUUGGCAUUUCCCCCCACGUGUUUGAUAGGAUAUAGACCACGUCUACCCCUGCCUCGAAGUAGAACCUUCCUCGUUCCCUGUUCCUUGACAAGAAAAAACCGAGGAUGAAUUUCAACGAAGGUAUUGUUGUUAGUGGCAAGCCGGCUAGCUGAAAUUAGGCUUUUAUCAGCUUCUGGAACAUGAAGAAUUUUGUUUAAGUGGAGAUCUCGAUUGGGAGUGUGAAUAGCUGAAUAACCAAUGUGUUCGAUAGCCAUACCUGAACCGCUUGCAGUGUGGAUCUAUUCGCCGCCGGUGUACCUGUCCCGCACCGUCAGCUUCUCAAGAUCGCCAGUGAUGUGGUCGGUUGCGCCGCUAUCCAGGUACCAGUUGGAGUCUACCCCGUACUGUGGGGCUGAAGGAAAUAUGCCCUAGAGGCAAUAAUAAAGUUAUUAUUUAUUUCCUUAUUUCAUGAUAAAUAUUUAUUAUUCAUGCUAGAAUUGUAUUAACCGGAAACAUGAUACAUGUGUGAAUACAUAGACAAACAUAUAGUCACUAGUAUGCCUCUACUUGACUAGCUCAUUAAUCAAAGAUGGUUAUGUUUCCUAACCAUAGACAUGUGUUGUCAUUUGAUUAAUGGGAUCACAUCAUUAGGAGAAUGAUGUGAUUGACAUGACCCAUUCCGUUAGCCUAGCACUUGAUCGUUUAGUAUGUUGCUAUUGCUUUCUUCAUGACUUAUACAUGUUCCUGUAACUAUGAGAUUAUGCAACCCCCGUUUACCGGAGGAACACUUUGGGUACUACCAAACGUCACAACGUAACUGGGUGAUUAUAAAGGAGUACUACAGGUGUCUCCAAAGGUACAUGUUGAGUUGGCGUAUUUCGAGAUUAGGUUUUGUCACUCCGAUUGUCGGAGAGUAUCUCUGGGCCCUCUCGGUAAUGCACAUCACUAUAAGCCUUGCAAGCAAUGUAACCAAUGAGUUGGUUACGGGAUGAUGCAUUACGUAACGAGUAAAGAGACUUGCCGGUAACGAGAUUGAACUAGGUAUUGGAUACCGACGAUCGAAUCUCGGGCAAGUAACAUACCGAUGACAAAGGGAACAACGUAUGUUGUUAUGCGGUUUGAGCGAUAAAGAUCUUCGUAGAAUAUGUAAGAACCAAUAUGGGCAUCCAGGUCCCGCUAUUGGUUAUUGACCGAGAAUGGUUCUAGGUCAUGUCUACAUAGUUCUCGAACCCGUAGGGUCCGCACGCUUAACGUUACGAUGAUAGUUUUAUUAUGAGUUUAUAAGUUUUGAUGUACCGAAGUUUGUUCGGAGUCCCGGAUGUGAUCACGGACAUGACGAGGAGUCUCGAAAUGGUCGAGACAUAAAGAUUGAUAUAUUGGAAGCCUAUGUUUGGACAUCGGAAUGGUUCCGGGUGAAAUCAGGAUUUUACCGGAACACCGGGGGGUUACCGGAACCCUCCCGGGGGUUAAUGGGCCUUAGUGGGCCAAGAGGGAGAAGAGGAGGGCCGGCCAGGGCAGGCCGCGCGCCCCCCCCCUUGUCCGAAUAGGACAAGGAAGGGGGGGGGGGGCGCCCCCCUUUCCUCUUUCCCCUCCCCUCUUUCCUUCUCCACCAAGGCAAGAGGGGGGAGUCCUACUCCCGGUGGGAGUAGGAUUCCUCCAGGCGCACCCCUAGGGUGCCGGCCGCACCUCCCCCCUCCCUCCUUUAUAUACGGGGGCGGGGGGUACCCCAUAGGCACACAAGUUGAUCUACGGAUCGUUCCUUAGCCGUGUGCGGUGCCCCCCUCCACCAUAUUCCACCUCGGUCAUAUCGUCGCAGAGUUUAGGCGAAGCCCUGCGCCGGUAGAACAUCAUCAUCGUCACCACGCCGUCGUGCUGACGGAACUCAUCUCCGGAGCUUUGCUGGAUCGGAGCCCGGAGAUCAUCAUCGAGCUGAACGUGUGCUGAACUCGAAGGUGCCGUACGUUCGGUGCUUGGAUCGGUCGGAUCGUGAAGAUGUACGACUACAUCAACCGCGUUGUCAUAACGCUUCCGCUUAACGGUCUACGAGGGUACGUGGAUAACACUCUCCCCUCUCGUUGCUAUACCAUCACCAUGAUCUUGCGUGUGCAUAGGAAUUUUUUUGAAAUUACUACGUUUCCCAACAGUGGCAUCCGAGCCUAGGUUUUAUGCGUUGAUGUUAUAUGCACGAGUAGAAGACAAGUGAGUUGUGGGCGAUACAAGUCAUACUGCUUACCAGCAUGUCAUACUUUGGUUCAGCGGUAUUGUUGGAUGAAGCGGCCUGGACCGACAUUACGCGUACGCUUACGCGAGACUGGUUUUACCGCCGUGCUUUGCACACAGGUGACUAGCGGGUGUCAGUUUCUCCAACUUUAGUUGAACCGAGUGUGGCUACGCCCGGUCCUUGCGAAGGUUAAAACAGCACCAACUUGACGAACUAUCGUUGUGGUUUUUGAUGCAUAGGUAAGAACGGUUCUUGCUAAGCCCGUAGCAGCCACGUAAAAUUUGCAACAACAAAGUAGAGGACGUCUAACUUGUUUUUGCAGGGCAUGUUGUGAUGUGAUAUGGUCAAGACGUGAUAAGAUAUAAGUUGUUGUAUGAGAUGAUCAUGUUUUGUUGAAGUUAUCGGCAACUGGCAGAAGCCCUAUGGAUGUCUCUUUGUUGCAUAAGAUGCAAGUGCCAAAUAAUUGCUUUACUUUAUCGCUAUACGAUAGCAAUAGUUGCAAGAGCAAUAGUUGGUGAGACAACCAUGUGAUGACACAUUGAUAUAGAUCAAGAUGAUGAAGAUCAUGGUGUCGUGCCGGUGACGAUAGAGAUCAUGACAGUACUUUGGAGAUGGAGAUCAAAGGCGCAAGAUGAUCAUGGCCAUAUCUUGUCACAUAUUUUGAUUGCAUAUGAUGUUUAUAUAUUAUACAUCUUAUUCUUGCUUUGAUUGACGGUAGCAUUUUAAGAUGAUCUCUCACUAAUUAUCAAGAAGUGUUCUCCCUGAGUAUGCACCGUUGCCAAAGUUCGUCGUGCCCAGACUGUUGGCGAACGUUGCAGAAAACAAAAAAUUUUCCUACGGUUUCACCAAGAUCCAUCUAUGAGUUCAUCUAGCAACGAGUCAUGGGAGAGUGAUUGCAUCUACAUACCACUUGUAGAUCGCGUGCGGAAGCGUUCAAUGGAACGGGGUUGAUGGAGUCGUACUCGCCGUGAUUCAGAUCACCGAUGACCUAGUGCCGAACGGACAGCACCUCCGCGUUCAACACACGUACGGAACAGCCACGUCUCCUCCUUCUUGAUCCAGCAAGGGGAGAGGAGAGGUUGAGGGAGAUGGCACCACCAGCAGCACGACGACGUGGUGUUGAUGGAGCUGCAGUACUCCGGCAGAUCUUCGCUAAGCGCUAUGGAGGAGGAGGAGGUGUCGGGGAGGGAGAAGGAGGCAACCAAAGGCGUGGGAUGAGAGCCCUCCUUCCCCCACUAUAUAUAGGAGGGCCAAGGGGGGUUGGCCGGCCCUAGGAGAUCAAAUCUCCUAGGGGGGGCGGCGGCCAAGGGAGGUUUCCCUCCCCCCCAAGGCACCUAGAGGUGCCUUCCACCACUUGGACUCCUCCCCCAUGGAAACCCUAGGCGCAUGGGCCUAGUGGGGCUGGUGCCCUGGGCCCAUGCAGGCCAAGGCGCACCCCCUACAGCCCAUGUGGCCCCCCCGGGGCAGGUGGCCCCACCCGGUGGGCCCUCGGGACCCUUUCGGUGGUCCCGGUACAAUACCGAUAACCCCGAAACUUGUCCCAUGUCCGAAAUAGUACUUCCCAUAUAUAAAUAUUUACCUCCGGACCAUUCCGGAACUCCUCGUGACGUCCGGGAUCUCAUCCGGGACUCCAAACAACAUUCGGGUUACUGCAUAUACAUAUCCCUACAACCCUAGCGUCACCGAACCUUAAGUGUGUAGAUCCUACGGGUUCGGGAGACAUGUAGACAUGACCGAGAUUGCUCUCCGGUCAAUAACCAACAGCGGGAUCUGGAUACCCAUGUUGGCUCCCACAUGAUCCACGAUGAUCUCAUUGGAUGAACCACGAUGUCGAGGAUUUAAUCAACCCCGUAUGCAAUUCCCUUUGUCAAUCGAUAUGUUACUUGCCCGAGAUUCGAUCAUCAGUAUCCCAAUACCUCGUUCAAUCUCGUUACCGGCAAGUCACUUUACUCGUACCGCAAUGCAUGAUCCCGUGACCAGACACUUGGUCACUUUGAGCUCAUUAUGAUGAUGCAUUACCGAGUGGGCCCAGUGAUACCUCUCCGUCAUACGGAGUGACAAAUCCCAGUCUCGAUCUGUGUCAACCCAACAGACACUUUCGGAGAUACCUGUAGUGCACCUUUAUAGUCACCCAGUUACGUUGUGACGUUUGAUACACCCAAAGCACUCCUACGGUAUCCGGGAGUUACACGAUCUCAUGGUCAAAGGAAAAGAUACUUGACAUUAGAAAAGCUCUAGCAAACGAACUACACGAUCUCACGCUAUGCUUAGGAUUGGGUCUUGUCCAUCACAUCAUUAUCCUAAUGAUGUGAUCCCGUUAUCAAUGACAUCCAAUGUCCAUAGCCAGGAAACCAUGACUAUCUAUUGAUCAACGAGCUAGUCAACUAGAGGCUUACUAGGGACAUGUUGGUGUUUGUUAUUCACACAUGUAUUACGAUUUCCGGAUAAUACAAUUAUAGCAUGAAUAAAGACAAUUAUCAUGAACAAAGAAAUAUAAUAAUAAUGCUUUUAUUAUUGCCUCUAGGGCAUAUUUCCAACAGUCUCCCACUUGCACUAGAGUCAAUAAUCCAGUUACAUUGUGAUGAAUCGAACACCCAUGGAAUUCUGGUGUUGAUCAUGUUUUGCUCUAGGAGAGGUUUAGUCAAUGGAUCCGCUACAUUCAGGUCCGUAUGUACUUUACAAAUCUCUAUGUCUCCAUCUUGAACAUUUUCACGAAUGGAGUUGAAGCGACGCUUGAUGUGCCUUGUCUUCUUGUGAAACCUAGGCUCCUUGGCAAGUGCAAUAGCUCCAGUGUUGUCACAAAAGAGCUUGAUUGGCCCCGACGCAUUGGGUAUGACUCCUAGGUCGGUGAUGAACUCCUUCACCCAUAUUGCUUCAUGUGCUGCCUCCGAGGCUGCCAUGUACUCCGCUUCACAUGUAGAUCCCGCCACGACGCUCUGCUUGCAACUGCACCAGCUUACUACCCCACCAUUCAAAAUAUACACGUAUCCGGUUUGUGACUUAGAGUCAUCCAGAUCUGUGUCGAAGCUAGCGUCGACGUAACCCUUUACGACGAGCUCUUCGUCACCUCCAUAAAUGAGAAACAUUUCCUUAGUCCUUUUCAGGUACUUCAGGAUAUUCUUGACCGCUGUCUAGUGUUUCUUGCCGGGAUUACUUUGGUACCUUCCUACCAAACUUACGGCAAGGUUUACAUCAGGUCUGGUACACAGCAUGGCAUACAUAAUAGAACCUAUGGCUGAGGCAUGGGGGAUGACACUCAUCUCUUCUAUAUCUUCUGCCGUGGUCGGACAUUGAGCUGAGCUCAAUUUCACACCUUGCAAAACAGGCAAGAACCCUUUCUUGGACUGAUCCAUUUUGAACUUCUUCAAAAUCUUAUCAAGAUAUGUGCUUUGUGAAAGACCUAUGAGGCGUCUCGAUCUAUCCCUAUAGAUCUUGAUGCCUAAUAUAUAAGCAGCUUCUCCAAGGUCCUUCAUUGAAAAACUCUUAUUCAAGUAGGCCUUGAUGCUGUCCAAGAGUUCUAUAUCAUUUCCCAUCAAAAGUAUGUCAUCUACAUAUAGUAUGAGAAAUGCUAUAGAGCUCCCACUCACUUUCUUGUAAACACAGGCUUCUCCAUAAGUCUGUGUAAACCCAAACGCUUUGAUCAUCUCAUCAAAACGAAUGUUCCAACUCCGAGAUGCUUGCACCAGCCCAUAAAUCGAGCGUUGGAGCUUGCACACCUUGUCAGCAUUCUUAGGAUCGACAAAACCUUCCGGCUGCAUCAUAUACAAUUCUUCCUUAAGGAAACCAUUAAGGAAUGCCGUUUUGAUGUCCAUUUGCCAAAUUUCAUAAUCAUAAAAUGCGGCAAUUGCUAACAUGAUUCGGACGGACUUCAGCUUCGCUACCGGUGAGAAAGUCUCAUCGUAGUCAACCCCUUGAACUUGUCGAUAACCUUUAGCGACAAGCCGAGCUUUAUAGAUGGUCACAUUACCAUCCGCGUCUGUCUUCUUCUUAAAGAUCCAUUUAUUUUCUAUGGCUCGCCGUUCAACGGGCAAGUCAGUCAAAGUCCAUACUUCGUUUUCAUACAUGGAUCCUAUCUCGGAUUUCAUGGCUUCUAGCCAUUUGUCGGAAUCCGGGCCCGCCAUCGCUUCUUCAUAGUUCGAAGGUUCACUGUUGUCUAACAACAUGAUUUCCAAGACAGGGUUGCCGUACCACUCUGGUGCGGAACGUGUCCUUGUGGACCUUCAAAUUUCAGUAGGAGCUUGAUCAGAAGUAUCUUGAUCAUUAUCAUUAACUUCCUCUCUAGUCGGUGCAGGCACCUCAGGAACAUUUUCUUGAGUUGCGCCAUUUUCCGGUUCAAGAGGUAAUACUUCAUCAAGCUCCACUUUCCUCCCACUUACUUCUUUCGAGAGAAACUCUUUCUCCAGAAAGGACCCAUUCUUGGCAACAAAGAUCUUGCCUUCGGAUCUGAGGUAGAAGAUAUACCCAAUAGUUUCUUUAGGGUAUCCUAUGAAGACGCAUUUUUCCGAUUUGGGUUCGAGCUUUUCAGGUUGAAGUUUCCUGACAUAAGCAUCGCAUCUCCAAACUUUUAGAAACGAUAGCUUAGGUUUCUUCCCAAACCAUAAUUCAAACGGUGUUGUCUCAACGGAUUUCGACGGUGCCCUAUUUAAAGUGAAUGCGGCAGUCUCUAAAGCAUAGCCCCAAAAAGAUAGUGGUAAAUCGGCAAGAGACAUCAUAGAUCGCACCAUAUCUAAUAGAGUGCGAUUACGACGUUCGGACACACCAUUAUGCUGAGGUGUUCCAGGCGGCAUGAGUUGUGAAACUAUUCCACAUUUUCUUAAGUGUGUGCCAAAUUCGUGACUCAAGUAUUCUCCUCCUCGAUCUGAUCGUAGGAACUUGAUUUUCCUGUCACGUUGAUUCUCAACUUCACUCUGAAAUUCCUUGAACUUUUCAAAGGUUUCAGACUUGUGUUUCAUUAGGUAGAUAUACCCAUAUCUACUCAAAUCAUCAGUGAGGGUGAGAACAUAUCGAUAGCCACCGCGAGCCUCAACACUCAUUGGACCGCACACAUCAGUAUGUAUGAUUUCCAAUAAGUUGGUUGCUCGCUCCAUUGUUCCUGAGAACGGAGUCUUGGUCAUUUUACCCAUGAGGCAUGGUUCGCACGUGUCAAAUGAUUCGUAAUCAAGAGACUCUAAAAGUCCAUCAGCAUGGAGCUUCUUCAUGCGUUUGACACCUAUGUGACCAAGGCGGCAGUGCCACAAGUAUGUGGGACUAUCACUAUCAAUCUUACAUCUUUUGGUACUUACACUAUGAAUAUGUGUAGCAUUACGCUCGAGAUUCAUAAAGAAUAAACCAUUCACCAUCGGAGCAUGACCAUAAAACAUAUCUCUCAUAUAAAUAGAACAACCAUUAUUCUCGGAUUUAAAUGAGUAGCCAUCUCGAAUUAAACGAGAUCCAGAUACAAUGUUCAUGCUCAAACUUGGCACUAAAUAACAAUUAUUGAGGUUCAAAACUAAUCCCGUAGGUAAAUGUAGAGGUAGCGUGCCGACGGCGAUCACAUCGACCUUGGAACCAUUCCCGACGCGCAUCGUCACCUCGUCCUUUGCCAGUCUCCGUUUAUUCCGCAGCUCCUGCUGUGUGUUACAAAUAUGAGCAACGGCACCGGUAUCAAAUACACAGGAGUCACUACGAUUACUGGUAAGGUACACAUCAAUUACAUGUAUAUCAAAUAUACCUUUGGUUUUGCCGGCCUUCUUGUCCGCUAAGUAUUUGGGGCAGUUCCGCUUCCAAUGACCACUUUCCUUGCAAUAAAAGCACUCAGUCUCGGGCUUGGGUCCAUUCUUUGGCUUCUUCCCGGCAGCUUGCUUGCUGGGCGUGGCAACCACCUUGCCGUCCUUCUUGAAGUUCUUUUUACCCUUGCCCUUCUUGAACUUAGUGGUUUUAUUGACCAUCAACACUUGAUGUUCCUUCUUGACUUCUACCUCUGUUGAUUUCAGCAUAGCAAAUACUUCAGGAAUGGUCUUCUCCAUCCCCUGCAUAUUGAAGUUCAUCACAAAGCUCUUGUAGCUCGGUGGAAGCGACUGGAGGAUUGUGUCAAUGACCGCAUCAUCCGGGAGAUUAACUCCCAGCUGAGUCAAGCGGUUAUGUAACCCAGACAUAGUGAGUAUGUGCUCACUGACAGAACUAUUUUCCUCCAUCUUACAGCUGAAGAAUUUGUCGGAGACUUCAUAUCUCUCGACCCGGGCAUGAGCUUGGAAAACCAUUUUCAGCUCUUCGAACAUCUCAUAUGCUCCAUGUCUCUCAAAACGCUUUUGGAGCCCCGGCUCUAGGCUGUAAAGCAUGCCGCACUGAACGAGGGAGUAGUCAUCGGUACGUGCCUGCCAAGCAUUCAUAACGUCUUGUUCUGCAGGGAGAACAUGUGCGUCACCCAGCGGUGCUUGUAGGACAUAAUCUUUCUUGGCAGCUAUGAGGAUGAUCCUCAGGUUCCGGACCCAGUCCGUAUAGUUGCUGCCAUCGUCUUUCAGCUUGGUUUUCUCUAGGAACGCGUUGAAGUUGAGGACUACGUUGGCCAUUUGAUCUACAGGACAUAUUGUAAAAUAUUUAGACUAAGUUCAUGAUAAUUAAGUUCAUCUAAUCAAAUUAUAAUGAACUCCCACUCAGAUUUGACAUCCCUUUAGUCAUCUAAGUGUUACACGAUCCGAGUCGACUAGGCCGUGUCCGAUCAUCACGUGAGACGGACUAGUCAUCGUCGGUGAACAUUCUCAUGUUGAUCGUAUCUUCCAUACGACUCGUGUUCGACCUUUCGGUCUCCGUGUUCCGAGGCCAUGUCUGUACAUGCUAGGCUCGUCAAGUUAACCCUAAGUGUUUUCGCUGUGUAAAACUGUCUUACACCCGUUGUAUGUGAACGUAAGAAUCCAUCACACCCGAUCAUCACGUGGUGCUUAGAAGCGACAAACUGUAGCAACGGUGCACAGUUAGGGGAGAACACUUCUUGAAAUUUUGUAAGGGAUCAUCUUAUUUACUACCGUCGUUCUAAGUAAACAAGAUGCAUAAAACAUAAUAAACAUCACAUGCAAUUAUAUAAAGUAGUGACAUGAUAUGGCCAAUAUCAUAUAGAUCCUUUGAUCUUCAUCUUCGGGGCUCCAUGAUCAUCUUGUCACCGGCAUGACACCAUGAUCUCCAUCAUCAUGAUCUCCAUCAUCGUGUCUUCAUGAAGUUGUCACGCCAACGACUACUUCUACUUCUAUGACUAACACGUUUAGUAAUGAAGUAAAGUAGUUUACAUGGCGUUCUUCAAUGACACGCAGGUCAUACAAAAAAUAAAGACAACUCCUAUGGCUCCUGCCGGUUGUCAUACUCAUCGACAUGCAAGUCGUGAUUCCUAUUACAAUAGCAUGAACAUCUCAUACAUGACAUAUAGAUCAUUCAUCAUUCACCACAACUUUGGCCAUAUCAUAUCACAAUGCACUUGCUGCAAAAACAAGUUAGACGUCCUCUAAUUGUUGUUGCAAGUUUUACGUGGCUGAAGUAGGGUUCUAGCAAGAACGUUUUCUUACCUACGUGAAACCACAACGUGAUUUGUCAACUUCUAUUUACCCUUCAUAAGGACCCUUUUCAUCGAAUCCGCUCCAACUAAAGUAGGAGAGACAGACACCCGCCAGCCACCUUAUGCAACUAGUGCAUGUUAGUCGGUGGAACCGGUCUCACGUAAGCGUACGUGUAAGGUUGGUCCGGGCCGCUUCAUCCCACAAUACCGCUGAAGCAAGAUAAGACUAGUAACGGCAAGAGAGUUGACAACAUCUAUGCCCACAACAAAUUGUGUUCUACUCGUGCAAGAAGAACUACGCAUAGACCUAGCUCAUGAUGCCACUGUUGGCGAACGUUGCAGAAAACAAAAAAUUUUCCUACGGUUUCACCAAGAUCCAUCUAAGAGUUCAUCUAGCAAUGAGUCAUGGGAGAGUGAUUGCAUCUACAUACCACUUGUAGAUCGCGUGCGGAAGCGUUCAAUGGAACGGGGUUGAUGGAGUCGUACUCGCCGUGAUUCAGAUCACCGAUGACCUAGUGCCGAACGGACAGCACCUCUGCGUUCAACACACGUACGGAACAGCCACGUCUCCUCCUUCUUGAUCCAGCAAGGGGAGAGGAGAGGUUGAGGGAGAUGGCACCACCAGCAGCACGACGGCGUGGUGUUGAUGGAGCUGCAGUACUCCGGCAGAUCUUCGCUAAGCGCUAUGGAGGAGGAGGAGGUGUCGGGGAGGGAGAAGGAGGCAACCAAAGGCGUGGGAUGAGAGCCCUCCUUCCCCCACUAUAUAUAGGAGGGCCAAGGGGGGUUGGCCGGCCCUAGGAGAUCAAAUCUCCUAGGGGGGGCGGCGGCCAAGGGGGGUUUCCCUCCCCCCCAAGGCACCUAGAGGUGCCUUCCACCACUUGGACUCCUCCCCCAUGGAAACCCUAGGCGCAUGGGCCUAGUGGGGCUGGUGCCCUUGGCCCAUGCAGGCCAAGGCGCACCCCCUACAGCCCAUGUGCCCCCCCCGGGGCAGGUGGCCCCACCCGGUGGGCCCCCGGGACCCUUCCGGUGGUCCCGGUACAAUACCGAUAACCCCGAAACUUGUCCCGAUGCCCGAAAUAGUACUUCCCAUAUAUAAAUCUUUACCUCCGGACCAUUCCGGAACUCCUCGUGACGUCCGGGAUCUCAUCCGGGACUCCGAACAACAUUUGGGUUACUGCAUAUACAUAUCCCUACAACCCUAGCGUCACCGAACCUUAAGUGUGUAGACCCUACGGGUUCGGGAGACAUGUAGACAUGACCGAGAUUGCUCUCCGGUCAAUAACCAACAGCGGGAUCUGGAUACCCAUGUUGGCUCCCACAUGCUCCACAAUGAUCUCAUCGGAUGAACCACGGUGUCGAGGAUUUAAUCAACCCCGUAUGCAAUUCCCUUUGUCAAUCGAUAUGUUACUUGCCCGAGAUUCGAUCGUCGGUAUCCCAAUACCUCGUUCAAUCUCGUUACCGGCAAGUCACUUUACUCGUACCGCAAUGCAUGAUCCCGUGACCAGACACUUGGUCACUUUGAGCUCAUUAUGAUGAUGCAUUACCGAGUGGGCCCAGUGAUACCUCUCCGUCAUACGGAGUGACAAAUCCCAGUCUCGAUCUGUGUCAACCCAACAGACACUUUCGGAGAUACCUGUAGUGCACCUUUAUAGUCACCCAGUUACGUUGUGACGUUUGAUACACCCAAAGCACUCCUACGGUAUCCGGGAGUUACACGAUCUCAUGGUCAAAGGAAAAGAUACUUGACAUUAGAAAAGCUCUAGCAAACGAACUACACGAUCUCACGCUAUGCUUAGGAUUGGGUCUUGUCCAUCACAUCAUUAUCCUAAUGAUGUGAUCCCGUUAUCAAUGACAUCCAAUGUCCAUAGCUAGGAAACCAUGACUAUCUAUUGAUCAACGAGCUAGUCAACUAGAGGCUUACUAGGGACAUGUUGGUGUCUGUUAUUCACACAUGUAUUACGAUUUCCAGAUAAUACAAUUAUAGCAUGAAUAAAGACAAUUAUCAUGAACAAAGAAAUAUAAUAAUAAUGCUUUUAUUAUUGCCUCUAGGGCAUAUUUCCAACACAGACACCACGUGAUGAUCGGGUGUGAUAAGCUCUACGUCCAUCUACAACGGGUGCAAGCCAGUUUUGCACACGCAGAAUACUCAGGUUAAACUUUACGAGCCUAGCAUAUGCAGAUAUGGACUCGAAACACGGAGACCGAAAGGUCGAGCGUGAAUCAUAUAGUAGAUAUGAUCAACAUAGUGAUGUUCACCAUUGAAAACUACUCCAUCUCACGUGAUGAUCAGUUAUGGUUUAGUUGAUUUGGAUCACGUGAUCACUUAGAUUACUAGAGAGAUGUCUGUCUAAGUGGGAGUUCUUAAGUAAUAUGAUUAAUUGAACUUAAAUUUAUCAUGAACUUAGUCCUGGUAGUAUUUUGCAAAUUAUGUUGUAGAUCAAUAGCUCGCGUUGUUGCUCUCCGUUUAUAUUUUGAUAUGUUCCUAGAGAAAAAUUGUGUUGAAAAAUGUUAGUAGCAAUGAUGCAGAUUGGAUCCGCGAUCCGAGGUUUAUCCUCAUUGCUACACAGAAGAAUUAUGUCCUUAAUGCACCACUAGGUGACAGACCUAUUGCAGGAGCAGAUGCAGACGUUAUGAACGUUUGGCUAGCUCGAUAUGAUGACUACUUGAUAGUUUUGUGCACCAUGCUUUAUGGCUUAGAAUCGGGACUUCAAAGAUGUUUUGAACAUCAUGGACCAUAUGAGAUGUUCUAGGAAUUGAAGUUAAUAUUUCAAGCAAAUACCCGAGUUGAGAGAUAUGAAGUCUCCAAUAAGUUCUAUAGCUAAAAUAUGGAGGAGAAUCGCUCAACUAGUGAGCAUGUGCUCAGAUUGUUUGGGUACUUCAAUCGCUUGAAUCAAGUGGGAGUUAAUCUUCCAGAUAAGAUAGUGAUUGAUAGAAUUCUCUAGUCACCAUCACUAAGUUACUAGAACUUCGUGAUGAACUAUAGUAUGCAAGGGAUGACGAACACAAUUCCCGAGCUCUUCGUGAUGUUGAAAUCGACGAAGGUAGAAAUCAAGAAAGAGCAUCAAGUGUUGAUGAUUGACAAGACCACUAGUUUCAAGAAAAGGGCAAAGGGAAAGAAAGGGAAACUUCAAAGUAGAAUGGCAAACAAGUUGUCACUCCCAUGAAGAAGACCAAAGCUGAACCAAAGCCUGAAACUGAGUGUUUACACUGCAAAGGAAAUGGUCACUGGAAGCGGAAAUGCCCUGAAUAUUUGGUGGAUAAGAAGGAUGGCAAAAUGAACAAGGGUAUAUUUGAUAUACAGGUUAUUGAUGUGUGCCUUACUAGUGUUUAUAGUAGCCCCUGAGUAUUUGAUACUUGUUUAGUUGCUAAGAUUAGUAACUCGAAACAGGAGUUACAUAAUAAACAGAGACUAGUUGAGGGGAAGUGACGAUGAGUGUUGGAAGUAGUUCCAAGAUUGAUAUGAUCAUCAUCGCACACUCCCUAUACUUUUGGGAUUAGUAUUAAACCUAAAUAAAUGUUAUUUGGCGUUUGCGUUGAGCAUGAAUAUGAUUUGAUCAUGUUUAUUGCAAUACGGUUAUUCAUUUAAAAUCAGAGAAUAAUUGUUGUUCUGUUUACAUGAAUAAAACCUUCAAUGGUCAUACACCCAAUGAAAAUAGUUUGUUGGAUCUCGAUCAUAGUGAUACACAUAUUCAUAAUAUUGAUGCCAAAAGAUGCAAAGUUAAUAAUGAUAGUGCAAUUUAUUUGUGGCACUGCCGUUUGGGUCAUAUCGGUGUAAAGCGCAUGAAGAAACUCCAUAAAGAUGGAUUUUCGGAAUCACUUGGUUAUGAAUCAUUUGAUGCUUGCGAACCGUGCCUUUUGGGCAAGAUGACUAAAACUCCGUUCUUCGGAACAAUGGAACAAGCUACUGACUUAUUGGAAAUAAUACAUACCGAUGUAUGCGAUCCAAUGAGUGUUGAUGCUCGUGGCAAAGUAUCGUUAUUUUCUGACCUUCACAAGAUGAUUUGAGCAGAUCUGGGUAUAUCUACUUGAUGAAACAUAAAUCUAAAAUAGUAGAAAGGUUCAAAGAAUUUCAGAGUGAAGUGGAAAAAUCAUCGUAACAAGAAAAUAAAAUUUGUGCGAUCUGAUCGCGGAGACGAAUAUUUGAGUUACGAGUUUGGUCUUCAAUUAAAAUAAUGUGGAAUAGUUUCACAGCUCACGCCACCUGGAACACCACAACGUUAUGGUGUGUCCGAACGUCGUAACCGCACUUUAUUGGAUAUGGUGCGAUUUAUGAUGUCUCUUAUUGAUUUACCAUCAUCGUUUUGGGGUUAUGCAUUAGAGACAGCUGCAUUCACAUUAAAAGGGCACCAUCUAAAUCCAUUGAGACGACACCGUAUGAACUAUGGUUUAGCAGUAAACCUAAGUUGUCGUUUCUUAAAAGUUUGGAGUUGCAAUGCUUAUAUGAAAAAGGUUUUCAACCUGAUAAGCUCAAACCCAAAUCGGAGAAGUGCGUCUUCAUAGAAUACCCAAAGGAAACUGUUGGGUACUCCUAUCACAGAUCCGAAGGCAAAACAUUCGUUGCUAAGAAUGGAUCCUAUCUAGAGAAGGAGUUUCUCUCGAAAGAAGUGAGUGGGAGGAAAGUAGAACUUGAUGAGGUAACUGUACCUUCUCCCGAAUUGGAAAAUAUUUCAUCACUGAAAUCAGUUCCAGUGAUUCCUACACCAAUUAGUGAGGAAGCUAAUGAUAAUGAUCAUGAAACUUUAGAUCAAGUUAUUACAGAACCUCGUAGGUCUUCUAGAGUACGGUCCGCACCAGAGUGGUACGGUAAUCCUAUUCUGGAAGUCAUGUUACUAGACCAUGAUGAACCUACGAACUAUGAGGAAGCGAUGAUGAGCCCAGAUUCCGCGAAAUGGCUUGAGGCCAUAAAAUCUGAGAUAUGAUCCAUGUAUGAGAACAAAGUAUGGACUUUGGUGGAAUUGCCCGAUGAUCGGCAAGCCAUAUUGUAUAAAUGGAUCUUCAAGAGGAAGACGGAUGUUGAUAGUAGUGUUACUAUCUACAAAGCUCAACUUGUCACAAAAAGGUUUUUGACAAGUUCAAGGUGUUGACUACAAUGAGAUUUUCUCAACUGUAGCUGUGCUUAAGUCUGUCCGAAUCAUGUUAGCAAUUGCCAAAAUUUAUGAAAUCUGGCAAAUGGAUGUCAAAACUGCAUUCCUUAAUGGUUUUCUUGAAGAAGAGUUGUAUAUGAUACAACCAGAAGGCUUUGUCAAUCCUAAAGGUGCUAACAAAGUGUGCAAGCUCCAGCGAUCCAUUUAUGGACUGGUUCAAGCCUUUCGGAGUUGGAAUAUACGCUUUGAUGAGUUGAUCAAAGCAUAUGGUUUUAUACAGACUUUUUGAGAAGCCUGUAUUUACAAGAAAGUGAAUGGGAGCUCUGUAGCAUUUCUAAUAUUAUAUGUGGAUGACAUAUUGUUGAUUGGAAAUGAUAUAAAAAUUCUGGAUAGCAUGAAAGGAUACUUGAAUAAGAGUUUUUCAAAGAAAGACCUCGGUGAAGCUGCUUACACAUUGAGCAUCAAAAUCUAUAUAGAUAGAUCAAGACGCUUGAUAAGAUUUUUCAAUGAAUACCUUGAUAAAUUUUUGAAAUAGUUCAAAAUGGAACAGUCAAAGAAGGAGUUCUUGUUGGGUUUCGUAGUAAUUUCAAAAAUUUCCUACGCACACGCAAGAUCAUGUGAUGCAUAGCAACGAGGGGGAGAGUGUUGUCUACGUACCCAACGCAGACCGACUGCGGAAGCGAUGACACGACGUAGAGGAAGUAGUCGUACGUCUUCACGAUCCAACCGAUCAAGCACCGAAACUGCGGUACCUCCGAGUUCAAGCACACGUUCAGCUCGAUGACGAUCCCCGGCCUCCGAUCCAGCAAAGUGUCGGGGAAGAGUUCCGUCAGCACGACGGCGUGGUGACGAUCUUGAUGAACUACAGCAGCAGGGCUUCGCCUAAACUCCGCUACAGUAUUAUCGAGGAAUAUGGUGGCAGGGGGCACCGCACACGGCUAAGGAACAGAUCACGUGGAUCAACUUGUGUGUUCUAGGGUGCCCCCCUGCCCCCGUAUAUAAAAGAUCCAAGGGGGAGGGUGCGGCCGGCCUAGAGGAGGCGCGCAGGAGGAGUCCUACUCCUACCGGGAGUAGGACUCCCCUCCCGUUCCUUGUCCAACUAGGAGAGGUGGAGGGAGAGAAGGAAAGGGGGGGGGCGCCGCCCCUCCCUCCUUGUCCAAUUCGGACUAGGGGGAUAGGGGGCGCGCAGCCUGCCCUGGCAGCCCCUUCCUCUUCUCCACAUUAGGCCCAUAAGGCCCAUUAACCCCCCGGGGGGUUCCGGUAACCCCCCGGUGCUCCGAUUUUAUCCGAUACUCUUCCGGAACCUUUCCGGUGUCCGAAUAUAGUCAUCCAAUAUAUCAAUCUUUAUGUCUCGACCAUUUCGAGACUCCUCGUCAUGUCCCCAAUCUCAUCCGGGACUCCGAACUCCUUCGGUACAUCAAAACUCAUAAACUCAUAAUACAACUGUCAUCGAAACCUUAAGCGUGCGGACCCUACGGGUUCGAGAACAAUGUAGACAUGACCGAGACACGUCUCCACUCAAUAACCAAUAGCGGGACCUGGAUGCCCAUAUUGGCUCCUACAUAUUCUACGAAGAUCUUUAUCGGUCAGACCGCAUAACAACAUACGUUGUUCCCUUUGUCAUCGGUAUGUUACUUGCCCGAGAUUCGAUCGUCGGUAUCCAAUACCUAGUUCAAUCUCGUUACCGGCAAGUCUCUUUACUCGUUCCGUAAUACAUCAUCUCGCAACUAACCCAUUAGUUGCAAUGCUUGCAAGGCUUAUGUGAUGUGCAUUACCGAGAGGGCCCAGAGAUACCUCUCCGACAAUCGGAGUGACAAAUCCUAAUCUUGAAAUACGCCAACCCAACAUCUACCUUUGGAGACACCUGUAAUGCUCCUUUAUAAUCACCCAGUUACGUUGUGACGUUUGGUAGCACCCAAAGUGUUCCUCCGGCAAACGGGAGUUGCAUAAUCUCAUAGUCAUAGGAACAUGUAUAAGUCAUGAAGAAAGCAAUAGCAACAUACUAAACGAUCAGGUGCUAAGCUAAUGGAAUGGGUCAUGUCAAUCAGAUCAUUCUACUAAUGAUGUGACCUCGUUAAUCAAAUAACAACUUAUUGUUCAUGGUCAGGAAACAUAACCAUCUUUGAUUAACGAGCUAGUCAAGUAGAGGCAUACUAGUGACACUUUGUUUGUCUAUGUAUUCACACAUGUAUUAUGUUUCCGGUUAAUACAAUUCUAGCAUGAAUAAUAAACAUUUAUCAUGAUUAUAAGGAAAUAAAUAAUAACUUUAUUAUUGCCUCUAGGGCAUAUUUCCUUCAGUCUCCCACUUGCACUAGAGUCAAUAAUCUAGAUUACACUGUAAUGAUUCUAACACCCAUGGAGCCUUGGUGCUGAUCAUGUUUUGCUCGUGGAAGAGGCUUAGUCAAUGGGUCUGCAACAUUCUGAUCCGUAUGUAUCUUGCAAAUCUCUAUGUCUCCCACCUGGACUAGAUCCCGGAUGGAGUUGAAGCGUCUCUUGAUGUGUUUGGUCCUUUUGUGAAAUCUGGAUUCCUUUGCCAAGGCAAUUGCACCAGUAUUGUCACAAAAGAUUUUCAUUGGACCCGAUGCAUUAGGUAUGACACCUAGAUCGGAUAUGAACUCCUUCAUCCAGACUCCUUCGUUUGCUGCUUCCGAAGCAGCUAUGUACUCCGCUUCACAUGUAGAUCUCGCUACGACGCUUUGUUUAGAACUGCACCAACUGACAGCUCCACCGUUUAAUGUAAACAUGUAUCCGGUUUGCAAUUUAGAAUCGUCCGGAUCAGUGUCAAAGCUUGCAUCAACGUAACCUUUUACGGUGAGCUCUUUGUCACCUCCAUAUACGAGAAACAUAUCCUUAGUCCUUUUCAGGUAUUUCAGGAUGUUCUUGACCGCUGUCCAGUGAUCCACUCCUGGAUUACUUUGGUACCUCCCUGCUAAACUUAUAGCAAGGCACACAUCAGGUCUGGUACACAGCAUUGCAUACAUGAUAGAUCCUAUGGCUGAUGCAUAGGGAACAUCUUUCAUAUUCUCUCUAUCUUCUGCAGUGGUCGGGCAUUGAGUCUUACUCAACUUCACACCUUGUAACACAGGCAAGAACCCUUUCUUUGCUUGAUCCAUUUUGAACUUCUUCAAGAUUUUAUCAAGGUAUGUGCUUUGUGAAAGUCCAAUUAAGCGUCUUGAUCUAUCUCUAUAGAUCUUAAUGCCUAAUAUGUAAGCAGCUUCACCGAGGUCUUUCAUUGAAAAACUUUUAUUCAAGUAUCCCUUUAUGCAAUCCAGAAAUUCUAUAUCAUUUCCAAUCAACAAUAUGUCAUCCACAUAUAAUAUCAGAAAUGCUACAGAGCUCCCACUCACUUUCUUGUAAAUACAGGCUUCUCCGAAAGUCUGUAUAAAACCAAAUGCUUUGAUCACACUAUCAAAACGUUUAUUCCAACUCCGAGAGGCUUGCACCAGUCCAUAAAUGGAUCGCUGGAGCUUGCACACUUUGUUAGCUCCCUUUGGAUCGACAAAACCUUCCGGUUGCAUCAUAUACAACUCUUCUUCCAGAAAUCCAUUCAGGAAUGCAGUUUUGACAUCCAUCUGCCAAAUUUCAUAAUCAUAAAAUGCGGCAAUCGCUAACAUGAUUCGGACGGACUUAAGCAUCGCUACGGGUGAGAAGGUCUCAUCGUAGUCAAUCCCUUGAACUUGUCGAAAACCUUUUGCGACAAGUCGAGCUUUGUAGACAGUAACAUUACCAUCAGCGUCAGUCUUCUUCUUAAAGAUCCAUUUAUUCUCAAUUGCUUGCCGAUCAUCGGGCAAGUCAACCAAAGUCCAUACUUUGUUCUCAUACAUGGAUCCCAUCUCAGAUUUCAUGGCUUCAAGCCACUUUGCGGAAUCUGGGCUCACCAUCGCUUCUUCAUAGUUUGUAGGUUCAUCAUGAUCUAGUAGCAUGACUUCCAGAAUAGUAUUACCGUACCACUCUGGCGCGGAUCUUACUCUGGUUGAUCUACGAGGUUCAGCAGUAUCUUGAUCUGAAGUUUCAUGAUCAUUAUCAUUGGCUUCCUCACUAACUGGUGUAGGUGUCACUGAAACAGUUUUCUGUGAUGAACUACUUUCCAGUAAGGGAGUAGGUACAGUUACCUCGUCAAGUUCUACUUUCCUCCCACUCACUUCUUUCGAGAGAAAAUCCUUCUCUAGAAAGGAUCCAUUCUUAGCAAUGAAUGUCUUGCCUUCGGAUCUGUGAUAGAAGGUGUACCCAACAGUUUCCUUUGGGUAUCCUAUGAAGACACAUUUCUCCGAUUUGGGUUCGAGCUUAUCAGGUUGAAGCUUUUUCACAUAAGCAUCGCAGCCCCAAACUUUAAGAAACGACAACUUUGGUUUCUUGCCAAACCACAGUUCAUAAGGCGUCGUCUCAACGGAUUUUGAUGGUGCCCUAUUUAACGUGAAUGCGGUCGUCUCUAAAGCAUAACCCCAAAAUGAUAGCGGUAAAUCUGUAAGAGACAUCAUAGAUCGUACCAUAUCUAGUAAAGUAUGAUUACGACGUUCGGAUACACCAUUACGCUGUGGUGUUCCAGGUGGCGUGAGUUGUGAAACUAUUCCACAGUUUUUCAAAUGUACACCAAACUCGCAACUCAAAUAUUCUCCUCCACGAUCAGAUCGUAGGAACUUUAUUUUCUUGUUACGAUGAUUUUCAACUUCACUCUGAAAUUCUUUGAACUUUUCAAAUGUUUCAGACUUAUGCUUCAUUAAGUAGAUAUAUCCAUAUCUGCUUAAAUCAUCUGUGAAGGUGAGAAAAUAACGAUAUCCGCCACGAGCCUCAAUAUUCAUCGGACCACAUACAUCGGUAUGUAUGAUUUCCAACAAAUCUGUUGCUCUCUCCAUAGUACCGGAGAACGGUGUUUUAGUCAUCUUGCCCAUGAGGCAUGGUUCGCAAGUACCAAGUGAUUCAUAAUCAAGUGGUUCCAAAAGUCCAUCAGUAUGGAGUUUCUUCAUGCGCUUUAUACCGAUAUGACCUAAACGACAGUGCCACAAAUAAGUUGCACUUUCAUUAUCAACUCUGCAUCUUUUGGCUUCAACAUUAUGAAUAUGUGUAUUACUACUAUCGAGAUUCAAUAAGAAUAGACCACUCUUCAAGGGUGCAUGACCAUAAAAGAUAUUACUCAUAUAAAUAGAACAACCAUUAUUCUCUGAUUUAAAUGAAUAACCGUCUCGCAUUAAACAAGAUCCAGAUAUAAUGUUCAUGCUCAACGCUGGCACCAAAUAACAAUUAUUUAGGUCUAAUAUUAAUCCCGAAGGUAGAUGUAGAGGUAGCGUGCCGACUGCGAUCACAUCGACUUUGGAACCGUUUCCCACGCGCAUCGUCACCUCGUCCUUAGCCAAUCUUCGCUUAAUCUGUAGCCCCUGUUUCGAGUUGCAAAUAUUAGCAACAGAACCAGUAUCAAAUACCCAGGUGCUACUGCGAGCAUUAGUAAGGUACACGUCAAUAACAUGUAUAUCACAUAUACCUUUGUUCACUUUGCCAUCCUUCUUAUCCGCCAAAUACUUGGGGCAGUUCCGCUUCCAGUGACCAGUCUGCUUGCAGUAGAAGCACUUAGUUUCAGGCUUAGGUCCAGACUUGGGUUUCUUCUCUUGAGCAGCAACUGACUUGCUGUUCUUCUUGAAGUUCCCCUUCUUCUUUCCUUUGCCCUUUUUCUUGAAACUAGUGGUCUUUUGACCAUCAACACUUGAUGCUCUUUCUUGAUUUCUACCUCCGCAGCUUUCAGCAUCGCGAAGAGCUCGGGAAUAGUCUUGUUCAUCCCUUGCAUAUUAUAGUUCAUCACGAAGCUCUUGUAGCUUGGUGGCAGUGAUUGGAGAAUUCUGUCAAUGACGCAAUCAUCUGGAAGAUUAACUCCCAAUUGAAUCAAGUGAUUAUUAUACCCAGACAUUUUGAGUAUAUGCUCACUAACAGAACUGUUCUCCUCCAUCUUGCAGCUAUAGAACUUAUUGGAGACUUCAUAUCUCUCAAUCCGGCCAUUUGCUUGAAAUAUCAACUUCAACUCCUGGAACAUCUCAUAUGCUCCAUGACGUUCAAAACGUCGUUGAAGCCCCGAUUCUAAGCCGUAAAGCAUGGCACACUGAACUAUCGAGUAGUCAUCAGCUUUGCUCUGCCAGACGUUCAUAACAUCUGCUGUUGCUCCAGCAGCAGGCCUGGCACCCAGCGGUGCUUCCAGGACGUAAUUCUUCUUAGCAGCAAUGAGGAUAAUACUCAAGUUACGGACCCAGUCCGUGUAAUUGCUACGAUCAUCUUUCAACUUUGCUUUCUCAAGGAACGCAUUAAAAUUCAACGGAACAACAGCACGAGCCAUCUAUCUACAAUCAACAUAAACAAGCAAGAUACUAUCAGGGACUAAGUUCAUGAUAACUUUAAGUUCAAUUAAUCAUAUUACUAAAGAACUCCCACUUAGAUAGACAUCCCUCUAAUCCUCUAAGUGAUUACGUGAUCCAAAUCAACUAAACCAUAACCGGUCAUCACGUGAGAUGGAGUAGUUUUCAAUGGUGAACAUCGUUAUGUUGAUCAUAUCUACUAUAUGAUUCAUGCUCGACCUUUCGGUCUUCAUGUUCCGAGGCCAUAUCUGCAUAUGCUAGGCUCGUCAAGUUUAACCUGAGUAUUCUGCGUGCGCAACUGUUUUGCACCCGUUGUAUUUGAACGUAGAGCCUAUCACACCCGAUCAUCACGUGGUGUCUCAGCACGAAAAACUUUCGCAACGGUGCAUACUCAGGGAGAACACUUCUUGAUAAUUUAGUGAGAGAUCAUCUUAUAAUGCUACCGUCAAUCAAAGCAAGAUAAGAUGCAUAAAAAGAUAAACAUCACAUGCAAUCAAUAUAAGUGAUAUGAUAUGGCCAUCAUCAUCUUGUGCCUGUGAUCUCCAUCUCCGAAGCACCGUCAUGAUCACCAUCGUCACCGGCGCGACACCUUGAUCUCCAUCGUAGCAUCGUUGUCGUCUCGCCAAUCUUAUGCUUUCACGACUAUCACUACCAUUUAGUAAUAAAGUAAAGCAUUACAUCGCGAUUGCAUUGCAUACAAUAAAGCGACAACCAUAUGGCUCCUGCCAGUUGCCGAUAACUCGGUUACAAAACAUGAUCAUCUCAUACAAUAAAAUUCAGCAUCAUGCCUUGACCAUAUCACAUCACAACAUGCCCUGCAAAAACAAGUUAGACGUCCUCUACUUUGUUGUUGCAUGUUUUACGUGGCUGCUACGGGCUUAAGUAAGAACCAAUCUCACCUACGCAUCAAAACCACAACGAUAGUUUGUCAAAUAGACUCCAUUUUAACCUUCGCAAGGACCGGGCGUAGCCAUACUUGGUUCAACUAAAGUUGGAGAGACAGUCGCCCGCAAGCCAUCUCUGUGCAAAGCACGUCGAGGGAACCGGUCUCGCGUAAGCGUACGCGUAAGGUUGGUCCGGGUCGUCUCAUCCAACAUUACCGCCGAACCAAAGUAUGACAUGCUGGUAGGAAGUAUGACUUGUAUCGUCCACAACUCACUUGUGUUCUACUCGUGCAUAUAACAUCAACAUAAAUAACCUAGGCUCGGAUGCCACUGUUGGGUUUCGUAGUAAUUUAAAAAAUUUCCUACGCACACGCAAGAUCAUGUGAUGCAUAGCAAUGAGGGGGAGAGUGUUGUCUACGUACCCAACGCAGACCGACUGCGGAAGCGAUGACACGACGUAGAGGAAGUAGUCGUACGUCUUCACGAUCCAACCGAUCAAGCACCGAAACUACGGUACCUCCGAGUUUGAGCACACGUUCAGCUCGAUGACGAUCCCCGGCCUCCGAUCCAGCAAAGUGUCGGGGAAGAGUUCCGUCAGCACGACGGCGUGGUGACGAUCUUGAUGAACUACAGCAGCAGGGCUUCGCCUAAACUCCGCUACAGUAUUAUCGAGGAAUAUGGUGGCAGGGGGCACCGCACACGGCUAAGGAACAGAUCACGUGGAUCAACUUGUGUGUUCUAGGGUGCCCCCCUGCCCUCGUAUAUAAAAGAUCCAAGGGGGAGGGUGCGGCCGGCCUAGAGGAGGCGCGCAGGAGGAGUCCUACUCCUACCGGGAGUAGGACUCCCCUCCCGUUCCUUGUCCAACUAGGAGAGGUGGAGGGAGAGAAGGAAAGGGAGGGCGCCGCCCCUCCCUCCUUGUCCAAUUCGGACUAGGGGGAUAGGGGGCGCGCGGCCUACCCUGGCAGCCCCUUCCUCUUCUCCACAUUAGGCCCAUAAGGCCCAUUAACCCCCCGGGGGGUUCCGGUAACCCCCCGGUGCUCCGGUUUUAUCCGAUACUCUUCCGGAACCUUUCCGGUGUCCGAAUAUAGUCAUCCAAUAUAUCAAUCUUUAUGUCUCGACCAUUUCGAGACUCCUCGUCAUGUCCCCAAUCUCAUCCGGGACUCCGAACUCCUUCGGUACAUCAAAACUCAUAAACUCAUAAUACAACUGUCAUCGAAACCUUAAGCGUGCGGACCCUACGGGUUCGAGAACAAUGUAGACAUGACCGAGACACGUCUCCACUCAAUAACCAAUAGCGGGACCUGGAUGCCCAUAUUGGCUCCUACAUAUUCUACGAAGAUCUUUAUCGGUCAGACCGCAUAACAACAUACGUUGUUCCCUUUGUCAUCGGUAUGUUACUUGCCCGAGAUUCGAUCGUCGGUAUCCAAUACCUAGUUCAAUCUCGUUACCGGCAAGUCUCUUUACUCGUUCCGUAAUACAUCAUCUCGCAACUAACCCAUUAGUUGCAAUGCUUGCAAGGCUUAUGUGAUGUGCAUUACCGAGAGGGCCCAGAGAUACCUCUCCGACAAUCGGAGUGACAAAUCCUAAUCUUGAAAUACGCCAACCCAACAUCUACCUUUGGAGACACCUGUAAUGCUCCUUUAUAAUCACCCAGUUACGUUGUGACGUUUGGUAGCACCCAAAGUGUUCUUCCGGCAAACGGGAGUUGCAUAAUCUCAUAGUCAUAGGAACAUGUAUAAGUCAUGAAGAAAGCAAUAGCAACAUACUAAACGAUCGGGUGCUAAGCUAAUGGAAUGGGUCAUGUCAAUCAGAUCAUUCUACUAAUGAUGUGACCUCGUUAAUCAAAUAACAACUUAUUGUUCAUGGUCAGGAAACAUAACCAUCUUUGAUUAACGAGCUAGUCAAGUAGAGGCAUACUAGUGACACUUUGUUUGUCUAUGUAUUCACACAUGUAUUAUGUUUCCGGUUAAUACAAUUCUAGCAUGAAUAAUAAACAUUUAUCAUGAUUAUAAGGAAAUAAAUAAUAACUUUAUUAUUGCCUCUAGGGCAUAUUUCCUUCAGUUCUUGCCUGUGUUGCAAGGUGUGAAGUUGAGUAAGACUCAAGACCUGACCAUGGCAGAAAAUAGAAAGAGAAUGAAAAGUCAUUCCCUAUGCCUCAGUCAUAGGUUCUAUAAAGUAUGCUAUGCUGUAAACCAGACAUAUUGUAUACCUUGCUCUGAGUUUGGCAAAAGAAUACAAUUUUGAUCUAAUAGUAGAUCACUGGACAACGGUCAAAAAUAUCCUUAGUAAGGACUAAGGAGAUGUUUCGCGAUUAUGGAGGUGAUAAAAAGUUCGUCGUAGAGGGUUACGUCGAUACGAGUUUUGGCACUGAUCCAGAUGACUCUAAAGUCUCAAUCUGGAUACAUAUUGAAAGUGGGAGCAAUUAGCUAGAGUAGCUCCAUGCAGAGCAUUGUAGACAUAGAAUAUUUGCAAAAUACAUACGACUCUGAAUGUGACAGACCCGUUGACUAAGCUUCUCUCACGAGCAAAACAUGAUCACACCUUAGUACUCUUUGGGUGUUAAUCACAUAAGCGAUGUGAACUAGAUUAUUGACUCUAGUAAACCCUUUGGGUGUUGGUCACAUGAUGAUGUGAACUAUGGGUGUUAAUCAUAUACAGAUAUGGAUAUUAGUGUUAAAUCACAUGGUGAUGUGAACUAGAUUAUUGACUCUAGUGCAAGUGGGAGACUGAAGGAAAUAUGCCCUAGAGGCAAUAAUAAAGUUAUUAUUUAUUUUCUUAUUUCAUGAUAAAUAUUUAUUAUUCAUGCUAGAAUUGUAUUAACCGGAAACAUGAUACAUGUGUGAAUACAUAGACAAACAUAUAGUCACUAGUAUGCCUCUACUUGACUAGCUCAUUAAUCAAAGAUGGUUAUGUUUCCUAACCAUAGACAUGUGUUGUCAUUUGAUUAAUGGGAUCACAUCAUUAGGAGAAUGAUGUGAUUGACAUGACCCAUUCCGUUAGCCUAGCACUUGAUCGUUUAGUAUGUUGCUAUUGCUUUCUUCAUGACUUAUACAUGUUCCUGUAACUAUGAGAUUAUGCAACCCCCGUUUACCGGAGGAACACUUUGGGUACUACCAAACGUCACAACGUAACUGGGUGAUUAUAAAGGAGUACUACAGGUGUCUCCAAAGGUACAUGUUGAGUUGGGUAUUUCGAGAUUAGGUUUUGUCACUCCGAUUGUCGGAGAGGUAUCUCUGGGCCCUCUCGGUAAUGCACAUCACUAUAAGCCUUGCAAGAAAUGUAACCAAUGAGUUGGUUAUGGGAUGAUGCAUUACGUAAUGAGUAAAGAGACUUGCCGGUAACGAGAUUGAACUAGGUAUUGGAUACCGACGAUCGAAUCUCGGGCAAGUAACAUACCGAUGACAAAGGGAACAACGUAUGUUGUUAUGCGGUUUGACCGAUAAAGAUCUUCGUAGAAUAUGUAGGAACCAAUAUGGGCGUCCAGGUCCCGCUAUUGGUUAUUGACCGAGAAUGGUUCUAGGUCAUGUCUACAUAGUUCUCGAACCCGUAGGGUCCGCACGCUUAACGUUACGAUGACAGUUUUAUUAUGAGUUUAUAAGUUUUGAUGUACCGAAGUUUGUUCGGAGUCCCGGAUGUGAUCACGGACAUGACGAGGAGUCUCGAAAUGGUCGAGACAUAAAGAUUGAUAUAUUGGAAGCCUAUGUUUGGACAUCGGAAUGGUUCCGGGUGAAAUCGGGAUUUUACCGGAACACCGGGGGGUUACCGGAACCCUCCCGGGGGUUAAUGGGCCUUAGUGGGCCAAGAGGGAGAAGAGGAGGGCCGGAUAGGGCAGGCCGCGCGCCCCCUCCCCCCUAGUCCGAAUAGGACAAGGAAGGGGGGGCUUCGCCCCCCUUUCCUCUUUCCCCUCCCCCCUUUCCUUCUCCACCAAGGCAAGAGGGGGGAGUCCUACUCCCGGUGGGAGUAGGACUCCUCCAGGUGCACCCCUAGGGGGCCGGCCGCACCUCCCCCCUCCCUCCUUUAUAUACGGGGGCGGGGGGCAUCCCAUAGGCACACAAGUUGAUCUACGGAUCGUUCCUUAGCCGUGUGCGGUGCCCCCCUCCACCAUAUUCCACCUCGGUCAUAUCGUCGCAGAGUUUAGGCGAAGCCCUGCGCCGGUAGAACAUCAUCAUCGUCACCACGCCGUCGUGCUGACGGAACUCAUCUCCGAAGCUUUGCUGGAUCGGAGCCCGGAGAUCGUCAUCGAACUGAACGUGUGCUGAACUCGGAGGUGCCGUACGUUCGGUGCUUGGAUCGGUCAGAUCGUGAAGACGUACGACUACAUCAACCGCGUUGUCAUAACGCUUCCGCUUAACGGUCUACGAGGGUACGUGGAUAACACUCUCCCCUCUCGUUGCUAUACCAUCACCAUGAUCUUGCGUGUGCAUAGGAAUUUUUUCGAAAUUACUACGUUUCCCAACAGGGGCCACCAUGUUGGCAGACUUCUCUUCUUCUCCCUGGUACGACUCGUCAUAGCGCUUCCAGCACUUCCAGGCCGGGUGGCCUGGCUUGCCAAAGAUCUGGCACACCACCUUGGGGGCAGGAGCAGAGUUGUUGUAGUUGCCCCUGCCACCUCCACCGCGACCGUUUUGCUUGGUGUAGGAACGGCCGCGAUCGCCACCAGCGUUGCCGCCGCCUUGUCUGUCGCGGCCGCGGUCACCACCACCGCGGCCACGCCCUCGUGUUGCCGCAUUUGCCGAGGACUGCGAUCCUCCAUGGCGAAGAUUCAUCCGUGUCUCGAAGCUAACAAGCUGUGAGUACAGCUCUGGCACGGUGACUGGCUCCGCACGGGAGCACAUGGCCGAAACAACCGGGUCGAAGUCUUCUUCAAGCCCGGCGAGGAUGUGUGAAACGACAUCCUCCUCGUCCACCCUUUUGCCUGCUGCGACAAGUUCGUCACAGAGGGUUCGGAUCUUGCCGACGUAGUCGGUGAUGGAGCUGUUUCCCUUCUGGAGAUUGGCGAGGGCGAUCCGCACGUUCACGGUCGCGGCACGGGUUUAUGAGGACAGCAUCCCCUGGACCGUGUUCCACAGCUCGGCCGAGGUGUGGCAAGUGGCGACCUGAAUUGCCAUCUCAUGGGGCAGCGUUGUCAGAAGAUACGAGAAAACUUGCUGAUCUUGUGCAUACCAGGUUUGGAACUCCGGGUUGCGGGUCUUCUUCUUGGUUUUCCCGUCGGAGUCCGUGAUCUCCAACUGCAUGGGCGGCACCUGAUGAUCGAGGUCGAGGUACUUCUGCAUCUGGGCACCGCGGAUGGCAGACAGCACCGUCGCCCGCCAUAGCGCCUCGUUGCCCUUGGUGAGCUUCUCCUAGACGACGUGAGCGAAUGGAGAGGAUGGGAAGGUACUUGAAGAUGUUGCCAUGGAUGAGCUCGAGAGGUGCUCUGAUUACCAUGUAAGAGGAAUUGGUUUGCGAUAAGCGUAUGCAUCGUAGCAGGGACGCGUGCGUGUUUAUAUAGCACAAGGAGUACAUGCGGCGGCAGGUUGUUGGAGUCUUGACCCAUCCUCCAAGCUAUACAAGAGAUAGGAUCAAAUCUUCCUAACAACCUACCUUUGUUACAAGAUACACAACGCACACAAUAACGUGACAUAUGUGUCACAUCUAAACUAACUAUCAAGCCUAUCAUUUACAUCCUCCCUCAAUCUCAACAUGUGAAGGUUUAGAUUGGUCUUGAAGGCUUGAAGUUGUCGAGCUUGCAAGGUUUUGUAAAACCAUCAGCAACUUGAUCACCUGUUGGAAUGAACCGUACUCAGUGUUGGCCUUCUAAAAGGCAGAGGGAUGGGAUGGGAUGGGAUGGGAGUACUCAGUGUUGGCCUUCUAAAAGGAGAAUUUCCUCAUCUCAAAAGUAUUGUUUAGGGGUGCUGAUUUUCUAUGCAUUUAUACAUAUACCCGCCGUAUCCCCGUAAGUCUAUUUUCAGAAAAUGCCGUUCUCCUGUAUCGCCGUAUCCGUAUCCCCGUACCCAUAUCCCCGUACCAUGUAACAUAGGCAGAGGCAGUAACCGACAUAGCGCUGUGUUCAUCGCCAUGGGAUGGGAUGGGAGUAUCAGUGUUGGCCUUCUAAAAGGAGUAUAUGUAGAUCUCCAUGCCAACACAGAAUCAUCAGGGAAUUAACAGGGACAUGCCGAUUGACCAAUGCAUUGAUCAUGCAUGAUGCAGGUCCGCGUCCGACACCAGUCCGCGUGCUUCUCGUGGGUACUGUGCACGCAACUGCUCACACUCCGGUGGUAGAUGCCAUGUGCGGCUGUGCUUGGUCCGCGGCAAUGUAGCUAAGAUAUGUGUGCUGUGACUGACUUAUGUUUUUUUGGCGAAUGACUGAGAAUUGAAUUAAAUCCGUAAGAGCAUCUACACAACUGGGCUCCCCAAACCCUUCCUAUAUGCUCAGGCGGACAGCCCCGUCACUGACCACACAUAAAAAAAAA